AGUUCUUAUGCAUGCGCAUACAGCAGUUGAAAAGUUGCAUGUAUAGUAUACACAAUUGAUUAUUUGAUUGUUAAUCUAGCUUGUCUACUUUGUUCAUUACUUCAACACAUUACAGUCUUCCCACCCACUAUAUAUAAGAUAGUAGUGAUACAUCUCUCAUUAGUCGAAAAGGAACCCUGAAGCCACAUGUAUGACAAUGUAUGGUACAUGUUUCAUUAAGAGCCUGCAAUACUAGCAGACUUAAAGACCAGUUAUAUGAGAUAGAUUAUAGAGGAGGCUCUAACUUGAUAUGAGCACAAAGUGCUAUGUUUAUAAUGUGUUUCCUACCCUAUUUAGCUAUGAUAUUCUCAUAAUAAUGUCAUUUCUAACAUGUUUUGUGAUUGUGAAGGACAUGAGAGCAUAAAUCAAGAAAAAAAGGCCAAAUCAUGGAAAUAACAGAAAAAUGCAGAAAAAGCCUUCUUGCAGUCCAAGGAAGGAAGAAGAUAGCCCAAAAGAAGGCCCAAAUCGAAGGAUGAAAAAGAAAAAUGCAGAAAGCCCAAAAGAAGGCCCAAGUUGUCCAAGGAAGGAGAAAAGUCAAACAUGUGCUCCUAAAGAAGAAAAGUCAAAUAUUUCUCCUAGUCCCACAUCAGUUUUUAAGAGAAGUUCCAUCAAGAUUUCCUCUAUUUAUAGAUAGUCUUGGGUACUUCACAAUCUAUCUCUUCUUCACACAAAAAUCUGUGAAACACAUUAACCUUCCUUCUCCUUUUCAACUCCUCUCUCCAUAAAAGAAGCAAUCCAAGCCAGCAGCUUUGUAGGACUUCUUCAGAAGGCUGCUGAGAAGCAUCAGACUUAUGUGUUCCUUUGAACAUCUCAAGCUUCCUUGAAGAUUUAUAAAGUGUAACUCAUGUCUUGUUUCUUCUAUCUUGUUAUUGUUCUUUGUUUUCUUGUAUUAGAUUUCAAAGUUGGAAUUGGCUAGUUGUUAAGAACAUGAAUAGGUUAAUUUUUAGAAUAAAUUCAAGCAUAUUUCAACUUGUUUAUGAUAGUGUAUGUUCUGUUCUGUUGCCUUGUUGAUUUCAUUAAAUGCAUAGUUUUGUUUAAACUAAAACUCUAAUCUACAAGUUAGUGUUGCUAUGAUCUAUACUAAGCUUCUUCAAGUAAGUGUAGAUCUCCAGUAGUAAAGGCUAUGUAAUGAUAGCCAAAACUAUGUGUUACAUGUUUGCAGGUUAAGCAGCUUCCUGUAAACUUGGGCAUGUUCAAAUUCAGAAUUCUAUAGCACUUAAUGAUUCAUGUUUAGUGUAGACGGGUAUUUUGAGUGACACAGAGUAUCGAUCGCAACCUUUGCAUGAAAUAUCCUAGGUUCUAGACUUCUCUGUGCUUAGGAGAUAAAGUAAGUAGAAUUAAAGGAAUGCAUGACCGCUGAGACUAGUGUUUUGAGUUUGUCUUUGAUAUCACUUGGCGAUGAACUUGAAUAUGUGUUUGAGGCUUGUUAAUACUUGUUUGAUUGGUUCUGAAAUCUCUGGUUGAUGUGUGUUGAAGAUGAUCACUUGUAUAUAUUAAUUUAGGUUUUGUCUUUAUCUUUUAGUAGGAACUUAGAACAAUCUCUUCAAACCCCCCCCCCCCCCCCUCCUGUUACCUUGUACCAUAAGUAAAUUUGUAAAUGAAUACUUGUAAAUAUUUUUAUUGAUAGCUACUGACUUUUUACAUGACCAUUGUCAUAAGAGCACCUUUAGUCCCUGGAUUGAUCGAGUCUUAUUUGCCUUAUACUACGAUUGUCAAAAAGGGUUCUUAAUUGUCGCACGCCCGGUAAUGGGCUCGUCAUAACUUUAGCCCAUUGUAAAGUAGUCAGGACUCGGGACUUGCAGUUGGCCACUAUAUAUACAAGUUAUAGAAAUGAGUAACCUUUGUUGCGUAGUCUGGCCCCUGAAACAAUUAUCCAUAGGCAAUUACAGCCUAUCAAUCUAUGAGGUCGUUUUAGAAUACUCACAAUAAUACUAGUCAUUUUUGAGUUAAAUUUUAGUCAAAUUAGCUAAAAUUUCAUUUUGGCUAUAGCCAUUUUAAAAAUGUGGUUGCAUCAAUGCUCUCUAUUUUAACUAGCAUUACAUCAACAUUAUUCUUCAAAUAAAGAUUAAAUAGUUUAAAUAUAGGAUUAAAUUCAGUGUACUACCUUGAAUUUUAGGUCACUCAUCAGGUGUGUCCCUGUUUUUUUUUUCUAAUCACGUGUACCCCUAUACUUUGAAAAUCUAUCAAACUUGGACAAAAUUCAAAAUUACACCCAAAAGUGACGUCAUAAUCUGACGUGGAAGAGACAAGAAUGUCCCACUUAUCAGUUUUUAACCCUCCAAAGAGGGUAAAGAUGUCAUUUUGCCUAUUUCCUUUUUUUUAUGAAACUGAUUUUUUUACUUUACCAUUCCUUUUUUUUUUCUUUCUGUUUUCUUCUCCUCUCCUCUCCUCUCCUUCCUCUCUCUCUCUCUCGAUCUCUCUCUGCAACUCUCAUCUUCCCAAAAAAAUUUCAAACCCUAACCUUCCAUGAAUCUUUCUACCGGACCAUGAUUCAGAGGACGGCGCCGCCGCGUUGGUGUAGUGUUGGUGCCGGGACCGACGGAGGCGAGCUGGCAGGAGGCGCAGCGGCUGCUGAUGGUCUUCUUGGGCUCCCUUAGGGCUUUGAGAGCAGCACGGCAGGUCUUGAAGAGGACGAAGCCGUAGCCUUUAGCUUUUUCGGUGAGUUUGUCCAUGAUGAGAUUGGAGUCCUCGACCUCGCCGAAAGGUUCGAAGGCGAAGACGAGGACUUCUCGAGUGGUGUCCCAACCGAGGCCGCGUGGACGAAGAUUUUGUGGUGGGAGACGUCGACGUCGGCGUCGGCGGAUACGUUUGCGGAGGGAGGAGUCGGCGGAGGCGGAGGAGGUUAUCAUGGAGAUGAGCUGCUCCUUGGAGCCGGGAGGACUCGGAAGAGUCAAAGUCGGAGUCUGACCUGGACCCGGUUUGGGGCUGUUUUUGGCGGAGGUCUACUUCGUCGUCGUUUUGUUCGGGUUGUGGUUCACAGUGAAAGAGGUUUCAUGGGGUUUUUUUGUAGAAGAAGAUGUUGGAGGCUUGGAGCCAUCUGGGGAGGUAAAGAUUGAAGGGUUAGGGUUUGAAAAGAAAUUUGGGAAGAUGAGAGUUGCAGAGAGAGAUCAAGAGAGAGAGGAAGGAGAGGAGAAGAAAACAUAAAGAAAAAAAAAGGAUGGUAAAGUAAAAAAAUCAGUUUCAAUACCAAAAAAAAAAGAAAGUAAAAUGGGCAAAAUGACAUCUUUACCCUCUUUGGAGGGUUAAAAACUGAUAAGUGGGACAUUCUUGUCUCUUCCACGUUAGAUUAUAACGUCACUUUUGGGUGUAAUUUUGAAUUUUGUCCGAGUUUGAUAGAUUUUCAAACUAGAGGGGUACACGUGAUUGAAAAAAAAGAAUAGGGACACACCUGAUAAGUGACUUAAAGUUCAGGGUAGCACACUGAAUUUAAUCUUUAAAUAUAUUUAUAUAUUACGUAAAAUAUUUUACAAUGAAUGUAUUAAAUUAUAGCUAGCCUCAUCUAAAUUAUCUCGCUGUCUAUAUUUAGCUAGCGAGAUAGCUAAAAGUCAUAAAAACUAAACUUUGGCUACUAGAGCUCCGAAAAUAUUUAAAAAAACUAUACACGCUCUCUAAAAUAGCUAAAAGCUAAAAUAGAGAGUCUGCUAAAGUUACUCUAAAACUAAAAGCUAAAAUAGAUAGUCUGCUAAAGUUACUCUAAAGCAACUGGAAUUAGGAUGGUUAUUAUGAGGGGAUUUUUCGGCUAUUGAAUUAGAAGAAAACGCCCUUGUUCAGGUCAUCAAAUCUAUUUCCCCUUUAAACUGAAAACAUGAACUUAUGACAUUGAUUUCCCACACUUAGUAAAUGGAAUUAUUGACUAAAGUAGUGGUAGCUUUUAUGAAUGUCUGAGGUUGGCUUCCAACACAAGGGCAUCAAAAUUAGACUAGAGACUUCGAUUGUGGAAUAGGAAAAACUUUGGCACAAAACAAGAUACUUCCACUAAGGAGUCGGUUUCCAUAUGAAAUAUUCCAAACCAAAAUUUCACUGAAAUCAACUAGGAGCAGGAGGGAUCCAUUAGCAACAGGAAAGCCAUUGGAGUAGUUGUUUUUGUUAAUUAAUGAGACGAUAAGCAAAACCAAUGGAGGCUGCAACAUGAACAAUUGCAGGAGGAGUGACUUGAGCAGAUCGAAAGAAGACAUUGUUCUCAAGCCUUCCAUAUUUGCCAACACACCAACAAGAAAUCUUCAAUGAUAUGAGCUUCACUACCCUUCAUAACAGGAACCAACCAAUCCUCAAGGCUGGAGAGGUAGGUGAUUCACAAUAGUCCAUGUAGAAGAGGCUAUAGAGCAGGAGGAGAACAUGUUAUCAAGAUCCUCCACUCUUGAACCACAAAGAGCACAAGAUAGAAUUCACAAAUCGAGCAAAAAAAAAAAACUCUUAAUUUCAAUCUGCCCCUAAUGAGCAGCCAAGAGAAGAUCUUAGCUUUAGGGGGAAUGUUCAACUUCCAAAUCUGUUUUGAUAAGUCAGCCUUAGGAUGACUAGAAUCAUGAACUUCAAAAGGCAACAAAGAUCUCUCUUUGUGAGCUCACUACAUUAGAAAUUUGCAAGCUCAAAUGACCAAUACUUAGGUCAGAUUUGCUAAUCAUGAACUUUGAAAGGCAACAAUCAUAGAUGCAACAAUAAUCUCUUUACGACAAUUUCUCUUAAUACCCUUUUUUAGGGAUCAGUCAUUACUUUCUAACAAUAAGAACAUGAAGUUUGAAGGUAAAAAUAAUCUCUCAGGCAACAGAAUUAUGAAUUGGGCACCACCAAUUAAUCGAAGGCAACUCAUAUAUCAAAGACAACAUAUUAAUAGAAGGCAACUCAUAAAUCCGAGGCAACAUAUUAAUAGAAGGCAACUCAUAAAUACAAUUGAAGGUAACAUAUCAAUCGAAGGCAACAGAAUCAAUCAUGAACUGGGCACCCCCUAUUAAUAGAAGGCAACUCAUAAAUACAAUUGAAGGUAACAUAUCAAUCGAAGGCAACAGAAUCAAUCAUGAACUGGGCACCCCCUAUUAAUCGAAGGCAAGUCAUGCAACGAAGGCAACUCAUACAUACAACAUAAGGCAACAAAAUCAGUAUCUAGAGAAGAAAAGGUGAUGACAAUUCUAGGUUGCAACAACAGAUUAAACCCUAACCAUUUAUGUGAUAAGUGAAACAAGCGAGGCAACAAUCUCUCUCUCUCUCUUCAGGGAAACAAUAUGAACUAGGCACCACCGCUAGAGAAUCAAGACAAUCGAACCAACAAUUUCAUGCUCAUAUUCAUAUAACAUUAAAAAAAAAAACAGAGAGAGAGCGAAAGAGCCACUUCUUACAUGAAAUUGAGCGAAUUGAGUUUACCGAUCCACGAACAGGCAAAACUUUACUGGAAAUGGAAUUGGGUCUCUCUUCUGUAUCUCCUAAAACUGGGUUUGAAAUUUAAAAUAAAGCUAGGUCGGCAGAACAACACGUCAACUUAUUGGAUAAAUAAACAAUGCCCCUCUUUUCCUAUACGUUACUCUGUUUUUCAUUUUUUUUCUUCUUGUUUCUUUAUUAAAUAUUUAUUUAUGUUGUUUGUUUUAAUCGAUAAUUAAUUUUUUCUUUAACCUCGCUGCAAACUAGUGCAAAAUUCCUAGUUUGUCUAUUCUUCACAUUCAAAGCUAUUUAAUAUUCAUAUCCUCACUGUUGCUACAUCUUGUGGCUCAAUAUAUAUUCCAAAGUCUGCAAGCAAAGCUUGCAUUAUAGGAGAAGCUAAAUAUUUAGUUAACUUUUGUCAUUAAUAUUAAAUAAACUUUUGUCAAAGCUCUUUAAUAUUUGGUUGAUAUAAAUUUCGGUGAUGUAAUCCGGUUGAUUUCUCCUGCACUCAACUGGGUUAAACUGAACUUUGUUAUCUCUGUAAUUGGUUCUUAUGCUACUUGUUUUGUCAUUAGGGAUGCUUUGGGGCACCUUUUGGUGGCCGGAGCUUGAUGCCUUUUUUCUACCAACGUGCCCUUGGAUGAAAGUUCUGCUCUUAAAGAUGAUCUUCUUGCUAGAAAGAGGUUUAACUACCACUCUAUAUAUUAUGGUGGAGGGAAAUUCCCUCAUUACUAUCAAUUGUGUCGAGAAAACUUGUGAGACUUCUUGGUGCCUAAAGUCUAUUGUCCGUGACAUUUGGAGUAUCACUGGUGAUUUUAAUAACAUCACUUCAAUCAUGUGCCCUUGGCUGAAAGUUCUGCUCUUAAAGAUGGUCUUUUUACUUCAAAGAGAUUCGACUACCACUUUAUUAUGGUGGAGGGAGAUUCCCUCAUUACUAUCAAUUGUGUCGAGAAAACUUGUGAGACUUCUUGGUACCUAAAGUCUAUUGUCCAUGACAUUUGGAGUAUCGCUAAUGAUUUUAAUAACAUCACUUUCGAUCAUAUCUACCGAGAAGAAAUUUUGUUAGCCGAUGCUAUGGUGGAUUUAGGUCACUCUCUUCUUUCCUCUAACUUGUGGGUUGAUUCAUUACCUCGUCAAGCUUUUCUAUUAGACUCUUCAAAUUUGGGGCGUCUUAGGGGCUCCACUCUCUAACGUUGUUGUACUUUUCUUCUCAAAAAAAAAAAAAAAUUGGUUAAGCGUUAGCAUAUGAUUUAGGCUUAUUGUAUACAAAAAGUGACUUAUAAGAGAAUACUAAAGGAAGUUCAAACUUACCGAGAGAAAGUUCUCUUUAAUGUCAACUACCUUAUUUUCAGCACUUGUCACUUUGGCCUGUUUGAGAUUCAGAUUGUUUAUGAAUAUGAUUGGAAUAUCAUUAGUACGUAGGUUGUAUGCUAUAACUUAUAUCUGUCAUGAUUAAUUAUUUGCUAUUUUAAUCCCUUUUUAUCGAGUCACCAAGGGGUGAAAGCGAGGAUGUGACUGUGGGAGAUGUGAUUAUAAAUCUAGAAAUAUAAUGAGAAAUUAGGCUAUAAAAAGAAUAGAGAAAUGAAAAAGAGAUAUGAAAGCUAUAGAACUGAGACCAAGUUCACGAAAACUCUCCACCAAAGGGUAGAGUUCUUGGAAUGAAAAAUUCUCGAAACAAUUUUCAAUCUCUUCCGAUGCGAAAUAUAAAAUAUUUUCUUUUAUGUGAACCAAAUGAGACCUUAAUGUAUUGUAGGAGGCUAUUUUUAUUUUAUUCUUUCAAACAAAAUUCCAUAUCAUUUUGGAAGUGGAAGCCUUGAAGGUGUUUAAUGAUUUGUUAAAAGCGGUUGGUUGGUUGGUUAAAUGUGAUUUGAUUGAAGAAGUGCAACAUCUUUUUUACUUCUUCUACUGGGUAGCUUACCCGCGCUUCAUUGCGAGGGGGAGAGAGAGAGAGAGAGAGAGAGAGAGAGAGAGAGAGAGAGAGAGAGAGAGAGAGAGAGAGAGAGAGAGAGAGAGAGAGAGAGAGAGAGAGAGAGAGAGAGAGAGAGAGAGAGAGAGNNNNNNNNNNNNNNNNNNNNACAAAAUGGUAAUUACAAAGUCACUCAGACUGGAUAUAGUAGUGUAAAUCAACAAAAAAACGGGAGGCAAAACUGUAAUUUAGAGGAUGAUAACAGGACUAUAAUUAUGACGUAAGUGAGGAUAGAAUCGUCAUUUCCACAUGUCCUUAUGAAAUGUAAUCAGGUAGCGGCUAGAAACACACUUUUAUUUUUUUCUCAUGGCCACCAAGAAUAAAUUGAGAUUUAACUCUAAUUAGUUUAAACGGGAUUUGAACCUGGUUAUGGGGGUCCACACGUAUGCUCCUACCAACUCGACUACCUGUGGUGGUUUGCAUUUCAAACUUUGGUCGAGCAUCUCUAACAACUUAUCUAUAAUUUCUCUAUAAUAGGGCAACAAAAGUCAAAUCUUUGAGCUAAUUUUAUUUCCCAACUCUAACCGCUUCCCUAUUUUAAAGAAUUUAUUAUUAUUCCUUAAAUUCUCUUAUAAAAUUAUAGUUUGCUGCAAAUUUGGGAAAUCUAAGUUUCUCUCUCUUCAUAUUCUUUAUUUUAGAGAAAGUUUUAAGAAAUUUGUUACAGAAAAACACCUAAAAUUUUUCCCAAAUUAAGAAAACCAAGAAUAUGGAGAAGCUCUUAUAGGUGCUCUGAUGUCAAAACAGUUGACGUUUCACAUAUAACAUUUUCAGUUUGGCUGGUUAAACACUUAAACUGCGAAUCUCUUUUCACCCUGAAAACACCAGAACAAGAAGGUCCAACAAUUUCUGCAAACAAGUUUCACAGCGACACAGUGAUUGCCAUUUGCCGAAGAACCCAUAAACCUCGGACUUCGCCGGACUUCCGUCAUCUUCUAUUCUCCGGUGAGCCUAUUUUCUUUUCAUGCAGUUCUAUCUUUCUCUUUGAUUGCAGACAAACUCAUCAGAAGAGGGGUGAGUUACGGAACUCAUUGGAGAAUCGUGUGCUUGUCGCGCUUCUCUCUGAAUUGGGGAAGAAUGAAACGCUCACAUUGAAUUGAAUUACUUAAUAAUUGACAGCUUGAUUAGUUUGGAAUUUGAGCUUUUUGAUUUUAUUUUUUUGGGUCGUAACUAAAUUUUUUCUCUGAUGCACUGCUCACCUCUUCAUUUUCAUCUCUUUGGGAGAGUCAUGGAUAAUGUGAUUAGACUAUAUGUAGCAGCAACAUGAAGCGAAAUUUUGUUUAGUAUCGAUCUCUUAUGAUGUCAAGUAGUGUGAUAGAGGAAUGCAAGAUUGUUCAAAUGAGGUUUUAUGAAAGAUGUAAUGAUGAAUGCCUGAGUAGAUUGGGUAACAUUAUUUUAGUUUGGAUAACAUAGAUAGUUUGAAUGGGUAUUUUUAAUGCAAGGGGAAGCGAAACUUUGUUUACGAUCCGUUGUGGCUAUAAUUUCUGAACUAAUUUUAGAAGGGAGCUCUAAUAAACAUCAUGAAAGUAUGAUGAUGAAUGCCCGAGUACUGGGUACAUUGCAUAGUUUUGAGUGUUCCAGAUCUCUAGUGUCACUAUAAAGAUUUUAGUUGAAGUCGAAUCUGUUCUAUUAUAUAAUCGCUAAAUUUUGUGAUUGAAAUACGAAAGCUAUCAUUAUGAUCAUUUGGUUAACACAUCACAUCAACCAACUCUAAUUUACGAAUUGCACUUGCUUUUAUGUUAAUGAAGCAUAACAUGAGUUGAUGGUUUCUUUUUGGUAGACUGAAAAGUAGAAACAGAGUAAGUUGAUAAUGUGUUUUUCCUUUUCUCUCGACAAGACAUGAAAUAUUUGAGAACAUUCAUGGAUAUAUGUUGUGGGUUUCGUUUACCUUAUAAUUGUUAGAUAUCCUAUGGCAACAUGAUAUUUUGGAACAUGUUACUGCAGGUUUUGUCUUCCAGUUAUAGGAGGAUGGACCUUGACAGUUUCUUGGGGUCAAAUGACCCAGGGCAGAUGCUUCCACCUCCACCUGGAUCUUUUGUGGAUCGUGAGGAACUCAUUCAACAUGUUGGGGACUUUGCUGUGUCACAGGGAUAUGUUGUAACUAUCAAGCAGUCCAAGAGGGAUAGAGUAGUUAUCCUUGGUUGUGACAGAGGAGGUGUUUACCGUAAUAGGCUGAAACAUGUUGAUGAGUCCUCUAGCGAACAGAAAAAAAGGAGAAAAGCAGGAUCCCGGCUGACAAAUUGUCCUUUUGAAGCAGUAGGGAAAAAGGGUGAUGGCUUGUGGGUACUUACUAUAAAAAAUGGAACCCACAACCAUGAGCCCUUGAAGGACAUUUCAGAACAUCCCUCAGCUCGUCGUUUCUCUGAGAGAGAAGUUUUGAUGAUUAAAGAGAUGACAGAAUCUGGUCUAAAACCUCGUCAAAUUUUAAAGAGAUUAAGACAAAGCAAUCCAGAUCUUUUAUCGACUCCAAAGCAUAUUUAUAAUGUUAAAGCAAAGCUUCGCCAAGGAAACAUGGGAGGUAGGUGACAUUAAACUGGGUUUCAUUGGCUAUCAUAAAACCCUUUAGUAAUUACUAAACCAGUUGGCAGAAGGUCAUUCAUGGUAAACAAUUAGGUGUACUAUAUAGAUUAGAAGGUCCUUCAAGGUAAACAAUCUGGUUAAGUUGCACAAGCCUUUCUUGAUGACUUGAGUUCUACUGUUAGAGCUAGGAGAUCUGCUUCCUGCUUUAAUAUUUAGUUGUUGGCUUUUUGUUUGAGCUCAUUUGAGCUCCGUUUGUAACCAAAAAAAAAACAAUCUGGUUAAGUUAGUUUCAUGCUGUUGCAUUGUUUUUAUUUUAUUUUAUUAUGUAUGGAGAUAGGGUCGGGCACAGUGUUAUUACGGAAGGUACAAAGCUAUUUUGUAAUCAUAUUUCUCUGUCUACAGAGCAGUGAUAACUGACAAAUCAGAUUCUGGUAAUUCUUUUUCUUCAGAAUUCAAGGAUUUCCUUUUCGUUUUGCGUUUGGCUAUGUCUUCAGAUUGCACUGUUCUAGUGAAGGGGGAGAUUUAUCUUAUUACUUAUCAGUAGUUGUAGCUUAGGUAUUCAUUGGACAUGUUGUGUGCAUGGCUUGUCAGGUCUAGUGAAGGGGAGCUUUAUCUUAUUACUUAUCGGUAGUUGUAGCUUAGGUAUUCAUUGGAUAUGUUGUGUGCAUGGCUUGUCAGGUUUAGUAGAAUCUUGUUUCAUUUAAGAUCAGUUUCAACUGUGAACUGACUACGAUGCUCCAGGCAGCCUGCCCAAUCAUUGUCCCUCUCAGGAUGAGUUUUACCAUGACUGCUAUGUAUAUUUUAUGAGGCCGUCGGGUCAAUUACUAAUAUUUUUUUAAAAUUAUGGAUCUCCUCGGCUUGUUAAUCUAUUAUUUUCAAGUACCUUACUAUAAAAAUGCAGAAAUCAUUUUCAAGUCUAUAAUUUUCAUGUAUAUAUUCAGGUUGGUACCUUACAAGGAAUUGUGGAUUUCCUCAGCUCAUUUUACCAUGACCUUACAGUUGAAUAGGAAUUAUACAAAAAAGAAUUUUUUUUAAAUUUUUUAUCAGGUUCCUUACAGUUGAUGAUGACAUGUUGUGCUGCAGUUAGACACUUCAAGUCUUUGAAUCCACAGCAAUCAUUAGCAAGAAACAAUUACCCUGUGGUCAUCGGGCCAUCUUGGAGGCAGCGCAACCCUCCGGUCAGCUAAAUGUUAAUAAAUGCAAUGCAACUCAGCAUAGUUUUCUUUUGAUUACAAUGUUGCAAAUACUUGGUGAAUCAUGCACAUAAGUAAAUUAGUUUAUCAGCUUUAUGUCUCCCUUCAUUGUGUGUUAUCUGAUUUUACACUGCAAUUCUGUAAUGUAUGACAGAGAGUUCCCAAUCUCAUUGGAGGUAGAUUUGUUGAUUCACAGUCGUUUGCCUCCAUCGAUGUUCUAAACCCUGUAAGUUCCGAAAGAAUAACAUUUUCUAUUCAUUUUGUCUGGUUAAAUUUUAUUUUGUGGUAAACGUUUCUGUGGUUUGCUAGGCAACACAGCAAAUUUCUUCUCAAGUACCUUUAACAACAAAUGAGGAGUUCAAAGCUGCAGUUUUUUCAGCAAAACGUGCCUUUCCACUGUGGCGAUGUACACCUAUUACUACUCGUCAGCGUAUUAUGUUCAAGUUCCAAGAGCUUAUACGCAGAGACAUUGUAAAUUUUUUAGUUAUUACUCACAUAGCAAGCUUAUGAAUUACAGUUCUAAUGUUCUUAAUUUUUACUAAUGGAAACUAUUACAAUUCCUAGGAUAAGAUUGCUGUGACCAUUUCAAGCGAACAUGGCAAAGGAUUGAUGGAUGCAUAUGAUGAUGUGUUACGUGGGUUAGGUUGGAGUUUAGAUUCAUUUUUUUAGCUUUCCAAGCUCUUUUGGCUAUGGCUUCUCCCAAUAAUUCUUUGAUUUCCUUCCAAAGAGUUGGUGGAACAGGCUUGUGGACUUGCAACAAUGCAGAUAGGAGAUUUUUUUUCCAAUAUAUCAAAUGGAAUUGAUAGCUACAGCAUAAGAGAGCCACUCGGUGUUUGUGCUGGGAUUUGCCCUUUUGACUUUCCAGCAAUGGUUCCCCUAUGGGUAAGCUCGCCAUUCUUCAAUGUUUAAGUUUCCUGUUUCUUCACUGUUUGGAUCUGGGCUAUAUUUUGAGUGAGUACUUGCUUUAUGAGGUGAUUAGAAUAGUAUAACAAGUCAUGCUUUAAAACUGUUAGUUGUCAACCUGCCAAAAAAACCUUCUUCAUAUUAUAAACUUAUCCAUUUCAGUUACAUCCCUGAAAACCUAACGUGUUGUGGUUGAUAGGAUUUUCAUUGCAAAGUUUCCAAUGAUGUAUAUCCACUUAGUUGAAAAAGUUGUUUUAUUUAUGUCUAUGUACCUUUUUAUACGCAGAUGUUCACUACUGCUGUCAUAUGUGGCAAUUCAUUUAUUCUAAAGCCAUCAGAAAUGAAUCCAGGUGAUUGCUAAAUCCUUCCUCCCCUUAAAUAGAUCUUUUACUCUUUAUAGUAUAAUGCAUUAAAUUUGAAAAAAUUAUCACAGAACUUUUUCUGAACACAUGGAAAAAUUAUGAGAGUUUGGAACAUGAGCUCACUUUCCACCAGAACUGGUACCAAAAAUAUUUGUGAUUCCAUCUCAUAUUUUUAUAUGCUACAUAAUCUAGAACCCGUAAAACCUCUCAAUUGAGGAAAAAUAGAAAUCUUAGUGUACCUCUACGUACAGCAUGUACUUUGCUUAAGUUCCUUGUCUUGGAGCUUCUGCUACUUAUAUUUUUCAAUUGGCAUGUUCAUGGUCUCACCAAAAGAUAGAUAUGUGCAGUUUCAAAUAUUAUGAAUAGUGAUGAGUUCAGGUACCUUAUGUGUAUAUUUCUCAUACACUUGACUCCUUUUUCGGUUGAGAUGUUUCAGAUUUUGUCUUUGGGCUGGUUAUUCAGUUAUCCUAUUGCUCUAAAGCAUAUUGCUGUUUCUGUUUCUUUUAGUAAAGAUCAUAAGGAUAUGGAUAUUUACCCGAACCGAGUGAUCAUAUUAAAAGCUCGUGAGGGUAAGCAAACAAAAUAGCUAAUUUUGAAAAGUGAAUGCCCACCUCAUUUAGUACUCUGCCAAUGUCAUGGUAACCAAUUUUUACUAUAAGAGCACCACAUGCCGUUAUCCAGCCAUGGCUCUCUCUCUCUCUCUCUCCUGUGUGUGUUAAUUUCUUUUAUAUGUUUUCUGCGUGGAACCUUUGGAUUAAACAGGGUAUGCUAAAGGAAAGGACUCUACUUGGUUUUAAGCAUCAUGUCUUCUAACUGCUAUAUAGCUCAUUCACAUUAGGUUAGGCCCAAUUCCUUGAUUGGUGUGACUAUGCUGGGGAUAUGUUUUGGACAUGUCUAACUGGAAACAAAGUAUAUUAAUUCCAAUGCAAAAGUAUUCGAAGAUGAUUUCCAUUUCAAUUCAGACUCCAUAAUUUUUUAAUGUCACCAUACUUUUCGGAUUUUUUAGUACUAUUUUGAAUGGUCAGAUUUUAUGGAGUUUCAAAUUAUCAUAAUCUGGAACCGUUUUAGUGGGAAAAUUUCCAGAUUUUCUUUUAAAAAAUGAUUGAUCUACUAAACUGACAAGAAUAGUAGCGAAGGUCUUAGAUUUUGACAUUUUCAAUGUUGAUAUUCUAUUUUUUGAACAAGAACUGUCGAAAUCUUAAUGAAACCAAAUAAACAACCAAUUAUGAAUGAAACAAGUACACCAAGGAAAGAGAGAUGCAUGCAUAUGUAUCCCAUAUAUUUUAAAGAUAUGUAACGUCUCUAUACAUUCAAGUACUUUGGAAUUAUUGAUUGGAAUUCCAUUCAGCAAAUUUUUGGACUUGGAUCAGAAUUUACAGAUGCAUUCAAUUCCUGCCGUUAAUUUUUUGUUCUUUCUCAGAAUUCUCAGAUUCAGCAUUUUAAACUUUGGAUUUGAUUCAAGGAUCUUUGGAAAUUACAAUUUCAGAUGAAAUAUGGUUUUUCCAAUCUAACUUGCGUCCAAUUGGGCGGACGCCACUUUACACCAAAUAAAAUAUAUAACAAUAUCAAGGUUUCAAUUUUUUUUUAUUCUUAGACAUGUCAUCUGCGAAGCAAAUGGUGUUGCUCAUAGGCUUGGCAUCUUGCUGGUACAUCCAUGUUGGAUGAGCUUUUGGUGGAAGAUACACCUUAUAUUACUCAAAAUAUUAUUAAUUUCUUAUAGAGGAUGGCUCUAGUUUAUCUUGAGGUACAGGCUCUAUGUCCCAAUUGAAGUACUAUUUGUUUAUGAAUAAUGAUAACACGGGGAGGGGAACCAGCUAUAUGUAUAUAUAGACACACACACACACAUACAGUUCCCUUCCUGAGCGGGACACCACUUUGAAAUUAAAGUGUAGUGCUCCUCAUUUCGUUCACUUUUAGGUCACAUUUUCACAUCUCCACCGCUCAGUGCCUAGAACAUAGUGUGUAGAUCAUUCCUGCAAAGUUUCAUCCAAUUUAGAGAUCGAGCUUCCGUAAUUGUGAUUUACAUAACGGUUCCUUUUUGACACAUUUUGUUUGCAGGAAUGAUUUACACACUAUGUUCUAGACACUAAACGGUGGAGAUGUGACUUAAAAGUGAGCCAAAUAAGGAGUCCAACACUUUAAUUUCAAAGUGGUGUCCCCCUCUGGAUAGGAACUGUAUAUAUAUAUAUAUAUAUAUAUUUAUGUAUAUAUAUAAUAAAUAUAUAUAUAUUUAUGUAUAUAUAUAUACAUAUAUUUAUGUAUAUAUAUAUAUAUAUACGUAUUACGUUAGUUAGGGUCGGGACCGGGUACCCGGUCCCGCCGGACCGGUCCUUAACGUUAAAGGUCGGACCGGUACCCGUUCCCUUUCCGUUCCGACCCGACCGGUACCGGCCGACCCGGGCGGUACGUUCGUCGGAACCGUUAACGUUUCCCGUUUACCGGUUUCCCGGACCGAAGUUAGUUUACGUUUACGUUUUUAGGUUUUUAGGGUUUAAGGGUUUUUGGGGUUAGUACGUUCGGUACCGGGUAACCCGGGUAAAACGGUACGGGUAACGGUUCCGGGGGUACCCGGGGUACCCGGGUACCCGGGGGGUAACCCGGGGGGGGAAAAACGGGGAAAACGGGGGUACCGGGGGGGUUAACGGGGGAACGGUCGUCGGUCGGUAACGGGUACGUCCCGGUCGGGUGGGGGGUGGGGUGGGUCGCGUCCUCCGUCCGGCCGGUCGGUACGGUCGGGUCGGACGGGAACGGGAAGGGAACCUCCGACCGUACGGUACGGGUCGGGUCGGCGGGAACUNUACGUACGUAACAGUAUACGUAAACGGAACGUGUGUAUAUAUAUAUAUAUAUAUAUAUAUAUUGCUAUGUGUGUCAGGGAUUUUCUAGUGAAUAACAAAAGCAGUUGGCAUUAACUGAACAGUCCAAGGUGAUUUAGAAAAAAACAAAAUAUUUUGAAACCCAAAGUCUGGUAAUCGAAGUGAAACCGAGGGUGAGAGCUAAGGCCUAGUGCUUCAUUUUGGUCGACUUAUCAUUUACAUAAAUUCUCAUAUCUACAAAUAUCGUAACUUAACCACUUAUCACUUAGUUUAUUGUAAAUGAACUCACAAGGAUAUUUAGAGUUUAUUUAAAUAGGCCACACACUGUUUGAACCUACUCUUUCAUUGCUUAUGGCCCAUCUUUCUCCAAUCAAUAUAGAGAAGCGACUGGCUUAUAUCUGAUCAGUUAGUUGGAUUGACCAUUCUGGUCUGGUAUUAAUUACCGUGGAGGAAAUUUUGGUUGGCUUCUUUCUAUCACCUAGUUGGCUAAAGUUGUUAGGUAUUCUUCCAAUACCGCUUUUCCUUUCAUUUAUACCUUGGUUAUUGCAUUAAGGUGAUGAUUGCAGGUUUGUGUGAGGCAUGUAUGGACAUUCUUCCCCUGCCCAUAAUCUGUUUGCGUCUUUGUAGAUGUAUAUACUUGUGUGUUUGUUACCAACAACCUUUCUAUUUUCUUUUAUUUUUUCCUUUCCCAUUAACAUGUAUAUGCAUAUGCUUCAGAAAGAUGUGAUAUAUUUGUUUCCUGCUUUUCAGGUGCAUCUGUGAUGCUUGCAGAGUUGGCAAUGGAGGCUGGUUUGCCAUGUGGCGUGUUAAAUAUCGUUCAUGGAACUAAUGUAAGGUUUUCCUUUAACUAUCAGUUGUCAACGUUUUGUUCAGCCCAUCAAACAAUAUGAAAUUUACCAAAUGAUUGAUGUGAUAUAUUGAUUGAGACCUGUUCUUUUUCUGCUUUAUAUCAGGCCAUUAGGUCUAUAGGUUUCUCGGGAUGCCCACUAUGUUUAUGGUGGUCCUAGGGUUUGAAAUAAAUUAGGGUUACUACUUGUGUUAUCUCGGCUCUAGUCCUAGUAAUGUCAUGUUACUGACUACCAGUUUCUUGGAGUUUAAUCCCUUAUUUGAUGUUACAUUUGAUAGAUUUAGGGUUAUCGAUCAAGACAUGGCUUAAACUUUUUGAUAAGCUAUGUAAAAUUUUCAACUGAUUGUUGGCAAACAAAUCCACUUCUGUUUUGUGUAUGCCACUUGUGUUGUUCACUGUCCUUGUCUUUCCAGUAGCUUUAACUGGAGUUCAAAAGUAAACUUUUCUGCUUUAUUGUUUUGGUAUUGUACUGCAAUUGAUUUAUGGUUAAUCUCUGUGGAAAUUUGACAUAAUCUAAACUUUCGAGCAGGAAACUUGUGAUGCCAUUUGUGACAAUGAUGACAUCAAAGCUAUCUCAUUUGUUGGACCAAAAGCAGUAAGUUUUUCCUCAAUUAAACUAACACACAGGUUACAGAUUUACAUCUAUGUGAGAUAAUUUAAGGUUUAUGGAUAGGUUUCUAAUUUUUGUUUUUGUUUUUUUAUCUGGAUUGGUCAAAUAGUACUGGUACGCAUGUGGCUAUAUAUGGUGGGCUAACUUUAUAGCUAGAUGAAAGUAUGCUCAAUUGUAGUUGUGGCUAAACAUGGUGGAGAGGUCAAGACCAAUAAUUUAUAAAGCACAUAGUUAACAAGUUCUCUGUGACUAAUAUAUUGCUUUUAUUUAUUUUUUAAUUUAAACUUUUAAAUUGCUCGGGUUGUCGGAAAAUUUAAUGAGGAUGAGAACCAUUAGUUGGAUGCAGAUUUUAUAAUGAUUCUAUGAUUAUAAUCUUCAAAGUGAUGAUGAUUUGUAGAAUGAGGGAUUAUAUGAAAUAUUUCUUGAACAAGCAGAUAACUACCUCAGCAUGGUUAGCAGAACUUGUCUCUUAUUUUUGAAAUUACACUUGCCUGUCUUGCUGGAGACAAAUUUAGAGGAUAUCAAAUACAUUGUGGUUUUUCUUCUCUUGGUUUAUACUCCUUUAGAAGUCCAUUAAGAUUCAAAAAUACAGUAAUUACACUCAUCUCGAUAUUCUAAUAAUAUUUUAAUCAUAACUGUGAAAAAUCAUCAGGAACAUAGCAUUUGUAGUGUUAAUCCUAUCUCUAUCUCUAGCAUUUUUCGUGUCAAUACUAUCUUUGCAUUGUGAUCAGAAAACUACUGGUCCUAAAUAUCCUUAUCGGGACUCUUUUUGCAGAAUAUAUUCUCCUUGGCCUUACGUUCCUUUAUUAGAUAUCUACCACCUUGCCCUAUAGGAAGAUUUGAUUUUGACAUGAUAGAGUAGUUAUCUUUGUAUAAUUACUCUUAAUUUCUUUCUCUUUCUUACUUUGUCUCCUAUUCAAUAUACUUCUGAUAUGCUAUAUGCAUUGCAUUGUAGUUCAAAAUUUACGUUCUUAUUUCAUUAGGGGUCCUAUGCUUUGAAUUUCCUGGAAUUCGCUACUUGCAUUUGAUUUGGGUUUACUUUUUCAUGUAACGUAAUAUUCCUUUUUGAAAUUGUGUAAAGGCAGGUGCUUACAUUUAUUCUCGAGCAUCGGCUAAAGGGAAACGUAUUCAGGUAAUUGCAAGCAUCUAUGCAGUUCAUACUUCAUACUAUUAGCAAUCCAGUUGCAUUUUGUACCAGUUAAAGUCAAUAUAAAUUGGCUGGUUUUCUAUUGUCUCAGUCCAAUGUUGGAGCGAAAAAUAUUGCAGUUGUCAUGCCUGAUGCAAGCAUGGACACUACGCUGAAUGCUCUAGUGUCUGCUGGCUUUGGUGCUGCAGGACAGAAAUGCAUGGCACUUACAACAGUUGUUUUUGUUGGAUGCAUACAUCUAUGGUAUCACAUUUUUUCCCAUUUGCUUAUUCAAUAUUUGUAUAUGUACCGCAUGUCAGAACUAAAUUACAUCAAUAUCAAAUAGCUUGGUGUAGUAGGGAUUUUUUUUUUUCCGUUAUGCCCUUUUGCCAGGGAAGACAAACUUGUGGAGCAUGCCAAAUUGCUCAAGGUUGAUGCUGGAUCACAAGAAAAUGUAGACAUUGGUCCAGUGAUUAGCAAGCAGGUUGAUACAUGAUUCAUUCCUUUCACAGAUCUCUUAGCAUUAAACUUGUAAAAAGAAGAGCUUAUUGGCAUGACAAGUCAGAUUAUAUUGAACGAGUGUUAGCUAAUAAGCACCAUGCAAUUCAAGAGUAUAUUCUUUAGUAUGUAGUAAUUGGAGUUCACACAUGCAUGAUUUUCUGUGCUUCGUUUUGAAUGAUUCAUCGAUAAGUGGCUCUCAAAUGAUUCAUCUGAAGUAUGAAAGACAAGCUUAUUGUGAAAAGCUAGUGAGCUGCUUUGCUUGUGUGUGAAGCAUGGGUUUAAUUAGAGAGAUUCUAAGACACCUCUGGCGUGAUGCCAAAGGCUGGUGUGAAGUGGGUUUUUUUAUUUUAUUUUAUUUUAUCUAGGAGAAAUUCCUUGAAAUCCUACUGGUUGUGAAGUUGGUAGUUUCUCCUGUCUACAUUUUAUAUUUUUCGUUCUACACCAGUUGUAUUUGUUAGUCUCAAAGAAAAAAUGUUACAGUUAUAGUGUUAUACAAGUGAAGUGAAUUUAAAGUCAUCAGUUUGGAGCAUGAUUCAAAGCUUCCUGAGAAUUCAGAUGCCUGUGUUUGCAUCUUGCUAAAUUUUCAGUUCUUAACUAUACUGUUUUCCUUGUUACUUGCAGGUGAAGGAACAGAUAUGCAGAUUGAUUCAAAUAGGUGUUCAAAGUGGUGCAAAACUGGUGCUUGACGGUAGAAAUAUUGUGGUAAUUUCUCAAGUCCAUCUUAUAUCCCACCAUGUCAAUUGAUGGAAUCUUACUGUGUUGAAUGUUUCCAAUUGUGGAAUCACAACAUCAGCCAAAAUAUUGUCUGUGAGACUAGGAAAGAGCCUGCUGGAGACUGAGGGUAUAUAUUUAAAAACAGACAAGCAGAAUAAAAAGACUUCUAAAGAUCACUCUCUGUAUUCAAGCGUAACUCUGAGCUGCCAGUCUGCCACCGAUGCUAGGCUGGACUCAGACUCAGGUUCAGGUUGUAGAAAUUGAUAGCUUCUUGAUGCUUUUGGAAUUAUACUUGGAAAUAUGGUUUAGUGUCUGACCAUGUCUUGUGGGACAAAUGAAAUAGUCUAAUCUUUGAUGGUUAAAGAAAUGAUCUCGAUUUUGAUGCUAUCGAAUAGAUCUGCUGGAGUUGGGAAGGAAAUAAAUUGUGAAUUUGGAUUAUUUGAAGAAAUGGGGGAACAUGACACAUUAAUGAAAGUAAAGAAGGGUUGUAAAACACAAUUUUUCAGUUGUAAAUCACUCUCCAACUUGCCACUUAGGUGAAUAAAGUCUAGUCUAAAAAGUAGACUUGCUAGACUUCUGAGACAUGCUCCAACUCUUUAUCUAUUUUGUGAGUUCUGUGUGCUGUCAAUUGUUACACAACUAUCUCAUCAUUUUAUGUGGGAAAUGCAUUUAUAUUCUGUGAGACAUUCGUUUGCUGAUUAUCUGUCAUUUGUAAGAAUUUGUUCGUUUGUAGUACAUUGAUCUAAUCUGUUCGAGUUUUUGAAAUAUUGAAACAGGUUCCAGGAUUUGAGCAUGGAAACUUCAUUGGUCCCACCAUCUUAUCCCAUGUCACAGCUGACAUGGAGUGUUAUAAGGUAUUUGUCAGUCUUGUCUUUUUAAAAAAUGGAAGGAAGACAAUAUCAUGUGAAAGCCUUGAACUCUAACUGAAAUUCUCCUAGUCCAAUGUUAAAUUAUUAAUUUACAAUUACUCCUCCAUCUCAUGUUGUGCAGGAGGAAGUUUUUGGCCCAGUUCUUCUCUGUAUGGAGGUUGCUAAUCGCUUACCUCCUGUUUGAUAAUUGCAAAUUUCUUGUUUAGCCACUUUUGAAUGUAUUAAAAGAUUGAAGUUUGUUAUCGCCUAGGCCGAAAACAUUGAAGAUGCUGUAAACAUCAUCAACAAAAAUAGGUAUUUUCAAACAGAGCUCCUAUCUUGAUUUCCUCGUAUGACAAGGGCCUUGUAAAUCUUAUAUCUAGUUGUUCUGUUGUAGAUAUUGUAAUGGAGCUUCUAUCUUUACGACGUCUGGCGUGGCUGCAAGAAAAUUCCAGACCGAGAUUGAAGUGGCCCAGGUAAGUUGUCAAACUGUAUUCAUCAUGUCAUUGAGCUAGCCUUGACGGUAGAAGAAAAAAUAGAUGUCUAAAUUGUUAAAGUUUUGAGUUUACCUUGUCUAAUUUGAUAUGAAUGGGUUUGGUUCAGGUCGGCAUAAAUGUUCCUAUCUCAGUUUCAUCCUAUUCCUUGUUUACGAGCUCGCGGCCAUCGUUUGCGGCUGAUCUUAGUUUUGAUGGUAAAUCAAAAACCAUGAUAAUGGCCAAAUUUCUCAAGUUAAUGGAGACAAUUAUUUGGAGUGGGUUAGAUGGGCAAUUUUUCUGAUGUUCCCUUUUAGUCAGUCUGAAGUUAAAGCUGGAGAUCUUUGAACUGCAGGCAAAGCAGGGAUUCAGUUUUACACACAGAUGAAGACUGUGAAACAACAAUGGAAGGAUUUACCACAGUGAUGGACAAGCUCUGCCAACGUCAACUUGAUAUGCAAACAAAUACGCUAGUUACGUCUCUUUUGCUUGUCCAUAUGAAUUUUUGAUUUUUUACAAAACUUUUUAUAAAAUACAUGUUUGGGGUUUAAACUCAUGACCGUCCAUAUGAGCUGAUGAUAGUUUUUUUUUUUCUUAAAGAUAACAAGCUCAUAUUAUAUUUAUAUUGUAGUACAGUCGUAUUACAAUGUUAAAGCUCCCAGUAGUCCAUGUUANNNNNNNNNNNNNNNNNNNNNNNNNNNNNNNNNNNNNNNNNNNNNNNNNNNNNNNNNNNNNNNNNNNNNNNNNNNNNNNNNNNNNNNNNNNNNNNNNNNNNNNNNNNNNNNNNNNNNNNNNNNNNNNNNNNNNNNNNNNNNNNNNNNNNNNNNNNNNNNNNNNNNNNNNNNNNNNNNNNNNNNNNNNNNNNNNNNNNNNNNNNNNNNNNNNNNNNNNNNNNNNNNNNNNNNNNNNNNNNNNNNNNNNNNNNNNNNNNNNNNNNNNNNNNNNNNNNNNNNNNNNNNNNNNNNNNNNNNNNNNNNNNNNNNNNNNNNNNNNNNNNNNNNNNNNNNNNNNNNNNNNNNNNNAUCUAAAUAAUAUUGUGUAGAUCAUCUUUGUAAAAUUUUAGUCAAUUUGGUGAUCGUUAAAGCCCUCAAAAUCGAAAAACAAAUGGAGAUGAUAAACCGGACAAAAUUCAGUCUGUCUAUUUGUUUUUCGAUUUUAAGGGCCUUAACGAUCACCAAAUUGGCUGCAAUUUUGCAGAGAUGAUCUACACAAUAUUAUCUAGAUACUAGACAGUGGAGAUGAGGAAAUUCGAUCGAAAAGUGGUGUAAAAAUAGAAAUCCGCACCAAAACUUUAGUGCGGACGUCCGCACCUGAUCAGCUUUGUGUGUGUGUAUAUAUAUAGUCUGUCUCUGCUACGGACUUCUGGACCGUUUUACGGUGCGGAUUUUCGUUCGUUCGCCACCGUACGACGUUGCGCGAGGGCGCGCCUCCACCCCAGCAGCUUCCUCGACCACUUUCCAUCCCCGUCGAAUUCCAGUUUUCUGGCCAGAUCACCCAAAACUUUAAACAAAGUCAAUCUGGCCGGAAAACUGGAAUUCGACGGACUCACCAGGGAUGGAAAGUGGUCGGGGAAGCCGCUGGUAGGGCUGGGCAUGGGACGAGAUAGAGAUAAUCCCACGGUCCGUGCCGGACAUUGAAAACGGGACGGGACGGGACGGGAUUUGCUAUUUUUAGAUUUCAUCCCACCCGGGCCCUAUCCCGGUUGGGACGAGACGGGCUUAAUCCCAGAUAAAAAAAAACUAAAAAUAAACUUGUAAGUAAAAGAAAGAGUUCCAUAGUUUUAUAGUGUUAUUUACUCUAUUAAGUAUUAACAAGUACUUGUAACAUAUUUACAAGUACAAAAUGGAGUAAUAAGAGAGUUUAUACUGUUUACUUUCUCUAAACAUGUCAUCACUACUACGGUGCAAGAAAAGAGUCUACAACAAUCAACAAAUUAAAGUAUUAAACAUCAUUGUUAGUGAAUUGGAGACAGUCAAUUAACUUAAAGAAACAAAGAGCUAAGAUGAAAACACUUAAAUGAAAGGCUCAAAUCACAUCUUAAUCAAUAAAUAAUCAAUUAUUAAAAUAACGGGACGGGCCUAAACGGGACUUGAAUUAUCCGUCCCGUGUCCCGUCCCGUAUUAUCCGUCCCGUGUCCCGUCCCGUUGUAUAGAGACAGGACGGGAUGGGACGGGCCUGACGUUUUGAGAUUUAAAUCCUAUCCCGUCCCGGUAAAUUUCGGGACGGGCCCGGGACGGGUUCGGGAUUACUGGAUUUUAUGCUCACCCCUAGCCGCUGGAGUCCGCUGGGGUAGAGACGCGCCCUCGCCGGCGCUGUACGGUGGCGAACGGACGAAAAUCCGCACCGUUUUACGGUGCGGACGUCCGCACGUGAGAAUCUAUAUAUAUAUAUCAGCAAGUUUCCUCUAAGAGAUCCCUUUUUUGGGGUUAUAUGAGGGAUUAAGGAUUACACCAACUUUUCGAUCACCAUUUCCAAUCUUAACCGUUCAAUCUCUUCAUAUAUAUGAGUGGAUUAUUUCUGGAAAGUUAUAUUUCAAUUGGUGAUCGUUGAGGUGCUCAAAACUACGAUUUGCAUGAACGGUUCAAAUCUGGAAGAUUUGAACCGUCUAUUGAUUUAAGUUAGUUCAAAGCCUUAACGAUCACCAAUUGGGAUGAAAAUUUUCAGAAAUGAUCCACUCAUAUAUAUGAAGAGAUUGAACGGUNNNNNNNNNNNNNNNNNNNNNNNNNNNNNNNNNNNNNNNNNNNNNNNNNNNNNNNNNNNNNNNNNNNNNNNNNNNNNNNNNNNNNNNNNNNNNNNNNNNNNNNNNNNNNNNNNNNNNNNNNNNNNNNNNNNNNNNNNNNNNNNNNNNNNNNNNNNNNNNNNNNNNNNNNNNNNNNNNNNNNNNNNNNNNNNNNNNNNNNNNNNNNNNNNNNNNNNNNNNNNNNNNNNNNNNNNNNNNNNNNNNNNNNNNNNNNNNNNNNNNNNNNNNNNNNNNNNNNNNNNNNNNNNNNNNNNNNNNNNNNNNNNNNNNNNNNNNNNNNNNNNNNNNNNNNNNNNNNNNNNNNNNNNNNNNNNNNNNNNNNNNNNNNNNNNNNNNNNNNNNNNNNNNNNNNNNNNNNNNNNNNNNNNNNNNNNNNNNNNNNNNNNNNNNNNNNNNNNNNNNNNNNNNNNNNNNNNNNNNNNNNNNNNNNNNNNNNNNNNNNNNNNNNNNNNNNNNNNNNNNNNNNNNNNNNNNNNNNNNNNNNNNNNNNNNUUUUAGGGUGUUUUAUUUUAGAGUAAAUGUGGGUAUUUGUGGUGUUGGCCGGGUUGGUGUGAGGCCCAAACCCCUUUUUUUUUUUUUCUUCUCUUUUUCUUCUCUUCUUCUCCUCUUUUCCUUCUUCUCUCUUUUCUUUUCCUCUCCCCGAGCUCUCUCUUCCCGCCGAACUUCCAGCCGUCGACUGCCGCCGUCCGGCCAGCCACUGGCCGCCACUCCAGCCCAGUUCGGAGCCCCGCCGUCUCCUCUCUCUUCCCGGCCUAGCGUACAAGCCUAUUGCGUCACCGGAGAGGAGAAAAUCCACCGGAAACGUCGAAAGCUUCUUCACCGGAACUCCCUCCUCCGACCGCCAAAGCCGGCAAUCCUUGGCUCGUUUUGUAGCCCUCCUCCUAUACAGCAACCCCUCCAAAGGUCUCACUCCCUCUUGAGCUAGGUAAGGAGAAAUUCAAAGUUGAAAUCCUAGGGCUCUUUAGGUGUUUAUGUUCGAUUGCCCUAGCUAGGCUUAGAAUUUGUGUUUGUGCCAGUUAGGAAAGUUGUAGAGGGAGUGGAGAGGAAGCUUCUGUUAAAAUUUGGUAAGAAUUGGAGGUCGCCGGAAUCGGCCUCCGGCCGCCGCCGCCGUUGCCGGUUGGGAGAUUUUAAUGUUUUUAAAUUUGGAAUAUUAAGGGGAGUUUAUUGAAGUGAAUUAUGGAAUUUUUGGAUGAGUUUUGGAUAGGGUUAUGAAUUUCCGAAGUGUGGUAUUUUUGGUGGUUGAAUAAUGUAAAAUCCGACCGUAUUUUCUGGGGGAAGUUGUAAUUAGGGCUGCCGGUAAGUUCGGUGAAGUUUGAGCCAUUUUGAGUUAAGAAUGACGAAGUUGGGCAAUAAUGAGUGUGUGGGAGGCUCACGUGUAAUUUUGCCCAUUUUGUUUAAUUAUUAGAUUUUUAGUGGGAAAUUAAUUAUAUAUUUGGAACAGGACGUGAGGAGGCUCAAAUUGGAGAGACCUCGGAUUGACGUCAGGCUUAGGCCUAAAGUUGUGAGUGGACUUUUGUUUUAAAAUAUAUGCAUGCAGUGAUUCUACAUUAAAUGAUUGAUUUUAUUAAAUAUCAAUUUGUGGAAUUGUCUAUUUUCGCGAAGUCAUUUUCAGAAGUAAAUGUUCUCAUUUUUAAUGGCUAUCGUGUUAUUUGGAAAGUUACCGAAAAUGAGAUUUUCGGUGGAGUCGUGUGCAUAUUGUUUUUUAUGAUAAUUGGCAAUUUUCUUUAUUUUUGGAGAGUAACCGAAAUUGAGAAUUUCGGUGAGUAUGUAUAUAUAUAUAUAUCUAUAUUUGGGUGAUAUUGAGAAUAAUAUGUAUAUGAAGGAAUGCUAGCUAGCUAUACGUGCUUUUCCACCAUACUGAGGUAAAAAUUCUAUUAUGGUGCGACGUGAGCGUUAGACGCAAUCGUCGUAGCCCUACAUAAAUAUAAUAAUUUAUAUAGGGGAUAUGCGCGUAUAUAUUUAUACACCGUCUUUUCCACCAUAAUGAGGUAAAAUGCCAUUAUGGUGCGACGUGAGCGUUAGACGCAAACGUCGUAGCCUUGUGUGAAUUUUCUAUUUGUCUUUGUUGUUUCAAGAAAAUUCAUACAAGGGAUAUGAUGAGUGUAAUACAUACAUAUUUUAUUUUAGCCUGAGAGGCUGUAUUUUAUUGAGUUUUGGAGACUGGCCGGAGCUAGUCAAGAUAUUGCCAGUUUUUGUGUUGAGCGUUUUUGAGCUGUCGCAUGCAGCAUAUUUUCUAUGGAAAUGUAAAUUGGGAAAGCAUAAAUAUUUUCAUUGAAUUUAUCUUUUUGUCCACUCACUCUAACGGUUUCAAAUGUUUUCCCCUGGGCCCUUCGUUUUAAAAAUGCCCAGCUUGCAGGUUAGCAUAGUUGAGGUCGGGCGUACAUGAAGAUGAGGCAUAGUCAUCAUAUAGCUUCCACUUGUUAAUUUUCUAUGUUUCCUUUCUUCCUGUUAGAGUUGUUCUGAACCUAUAAAUGGUUGGAUAUGAGAUUUGUUUAGAUUAGUAAAUAAUUUGGGUGGUGUUGUGAUUUGGGGAGCACGAAGGCUCCAGGAGUUAAGGUUGGAGUUGGAACUUUUAGAAGUGCUUGCAGGUGUUUUAUUUAGAAAGGGUUGUCCAUUUUCAAGGGAGAUUAUGCCAAAUUUUCGGUAAAUUUUCUUUAGAGGUGGUCCCCGCAGGAUUUAGUUCGGGUUUCAGGAUGAAAUUCGGGGUGGGGUCCUGACAAUGUCCUUUUGUCCGGCAAUGGCGCGCUUCCACCGCAGCAGCGUCUCCGACCACUUUCCUUCCCCGGCGAGUCCGUCGAAUUCCAGUUUUUCGGCGAGAUUGAUUUUGUUUGAAGUUUUGGGUGAUCUCGUCGGAAAACUGGAAUUCAACGGAUUCGCCGGGGAGAGAAUGUGGUCGGAGACGCUGCUGGAGUCCUCUGGGGUGGAGGCGCGCCGUCAUCGGUGCCGUCCGGUGGCGAAUGGAGGGACGUCCACAGUUUAAGCCGAGUGCGGACGUCCGCUUUGGAACGUUUCUAUAUAUAUAUAUAUAUGUAUGUAUGAGGGAGGAUCUAAAAAGAACCUCCUUACUUGAAGAAUUUGAGAAUUUCUACUAUUUUAUAUUAGUAGAUACUUUAUUUAACGAUCUUAACCAUUGAUCUCUACGUUCAUAUGCAAUAAACAUGUCUACAAAAUAUCAACUAAUUCCAUAAUCAUUUGGUCAUUCAAAUCGACAUAAGUGUUAAGGGAUUUAUCAUUGAAAAUGCCCAUUUGGUCAGAAACAAGGAUUCAAAAGCUUAUUUCAAUGAAAAUAAUAAUCAAACGCCCAUUCCAAUGAAUUAUAAACAAAAGACGAAAUUAACCUUUACAUAAUAUCUAGAAAGAAAAAAACGUAGCCAUGUCUCUGGAUCAGAACUUCUCUCUCUCUCUCUCUCUCUCUCUCUCUCUCUCUCUCUCUCUCUCUCUCUCUCUCUCUCUCUCUCUCUCUCUCUCUUUCUCUCCUUCCUUCACCAUCCUUGCCUCCGCCGUGCUGCACCAUCUCUCCUCCGCCUGCGACGCCAGAAACACUAUCCAGAUCCAAAACUUCAGCAUUUGAUUCCUUCUUGGAGACCGAGCCCUCGUUGUCGCUCUGGAGCUCGUCACCCUUCGCUCGGCGCUCGGCGCUCAUCAGUCACCCCUCAUACAGCAGCCUUGGCAGCCGAUCAAACUCCGCCGCCUCGAUCCUCGGCGGCCACACUACCAGGUUCUUGUAGCACAGAAACACAUGCCUCUCGUAAAACUCCACCGUCUCGGCAAGUUGACUCGUUCGGAACUCGGCUCUCAAGAACCCGAACUCCGCCUCUCCGCCGCCACCGCCACUGUUGUCCGCCAGGAGGCCCUCAUUCUGGAAGCUCCCGGAGGCGUUGCUGCCGAAGGCGUGGUGCGGGUUCGGGUUAGAAGCGAGCGGGUCAGAUAUGACAAUCGGGGAGGAGGAUGACGUGGAGGAGGACGACGGGGCGGCGAAUAAUGAGAGGGAGGAAGACGACGCGUCGUAGGUUCGGUCUCUGGCCGCCGUAACCAUUUUAGAGAGAGAGAGAGAGAGAGAGAGAGAGAGAGAGAGAGAGAGAGAGUAGUUUGUUGUUUAGUUUACUUCUAGUGGUAGUGGAGGUGGAGAAGUGGGAGUGUGCUUUUCUCUCUUCUCUUUCUCUACUACUACUAGUAAGAGACUUUGGUCACCCAAUUUGGGGAAUUACGACACGUGCUUUUAUGGGUGUAUUGCACAACACACACACACUACUCAGUAUUUUUGACUCUGCUUCUUUUUUUUUUUUUGGUCUGAGACUCUGCUCUCUUUCUCAGUUGCUCUAUUAGGGGUCAGUAAUUGGUUACUAGGGAUUAAUAACUGGUUACUAGGUGUCAGUAACUGGUUACUAGGUGUCAGUAACUGGUUAUUGGGUGUCAGUAACUGGUUAGUAGGUGUCAGUAACUGGUUAGUAACUGGUUACUAGGGGUCUGUAACUAGUUAUUUGAGAUGAGUAACUGAUCAGUAACUGGUUAUUGGGGGUCAGUAACUAGUUACAGGGGAAAUUCCGGUGACCGGACCGGUGACCGGAGUCUGGUGAGAUUCUGGCCAACUAUUCUCUCUUUCAUUUUCUCUCUCUCUAUGAAUGUUUAAAGGGUGAGGGCAAAAUAGUCUUAAAAUAAUAUGAUUUGUUAAGACUUUAAUAAAAAAUUGUGCAUUUGGGCAUAAAGAUUUGUGUAUUUGGGCAUAAAAAAGGUUACCUUAUAUUGAAACUGGCUAAUGAAAAAGAUUGUCAUUGGAAUGAGAAAUGAGGGGUUUAAAUUAGUACUAAAUGGGCAUUUUCCCUUUUUUUGUUUUAAUUUCAGUCAUCCAAGUCCAUUAAAAAACAGAUAUAAUGGUGUGAGAUUAUCCUUAAAAAUGAACAAAAAAAACGAUCCCUCAUUAGAAGGGCCCUGUAUACAUAUAUAUACAUAUAGAAUCCAAAUCUAGAGAAGACCUAAGUGGAAUUCCCUCAAGUGCCAAUAAUUUACUUGUCAGCUAACUGGACAUGAGAACAUGUACUUGCAAAAGAUGGAAUCUAAGUGGAAUUCCCUCAGGUGCCAAUAACUUAUGUAACAGUGGUUGUAUUUUGAUUGAUAUUAAUAGCCAAUGGUGUAUUAUAAUUUUUAGAUGUCUCUAAUUUUUGUAUGCAGCCAACACAUGACUCACCACACAUUCUAAUACUGAUGGGAAAAUGAACAUUAUUCUAGAGGAAAAGAUUUGUGAAGGGAAAAUGUUUGAAGAGGGAAAAAAUGAAGAGACAAUUUUGCCCAUGGACAAAGUAUAACUUAACGAUAUCAAUAAUGGAUGGAACUAAUGUUGAGUUGAAUCUAAGUGUUGAGAUACCAUUAUUAUAAUUUUCAAGAUUGAAAUAUCAAAACGAUGAAUGGGCUUAAUUCAGGCACCAUUUGAAAAAUUUCCCGUUUACGAGUUUCAAAUCAAACCUCGUAAAAAUUAGUCCAAAAAAUUUCCAAAAACAAAUUGCCAGUUUACUAUCACACUCAGCAAUGACGUGUAAUAUAAAGUCAGCAAAUCGGUAUUUAAAUAGUAAGCAGUGAUCGCAAUCCAGGGUGUCCACGAUAAACACCAGCCGUCUUUACCACCCAAAACAUCGCUCUGCUGACAUCAGCGAACCAUCAGACGGCCUAUAAAAACUCAAAGUGAAACACUGACACUGACCAAACAAGAGAAAAGAAGGAAGAAAAUGUUGCAGCUCUCAAUUCCAAGAGGUAAGUAAAACCUAGAACCAUUUUCUGAUCAUAUAUCUUUGUGAUUUGCACUGCGUAAUGUAUAAAGGUCUGUGUAAUUCGCAGUGAGAAAUCUCAAUGCUUUUCGAGCGACGAUCUCCGCUGUCCGGAGCUCUCAUUUCUCCACGGCGGCUCCGGUAAUAAUCGAUCAAGUCUUAGGGUUCGAGUUUUGCUUGAGUUGAGCGAUUCUGAGUAGCUAUUUUGGUGUUUUGUUCAUAUAGAAUGAUUUGGAUGGUGUUUGUGCUUUUGUUUAUGUUUGAAAUAUCAGAGAGUUCCCAAUCUGAUUGGAGGUGCUUUUGUUAAUUCACAAUCGACUGCGUCUAUCGAUGUUAUAAACCCUGUAAGUUUUUUAUAUAUGCUUCAAUUUGUAUUUUUUUUUUCAUUGCUUUUGCUUGCAGAACUUAUGAGUGUGAUUCUGUUUUUUAACUAAUAAUUGGUUUAUAGGCGACGCAAGAAGUUGUUUCCAAAGUUCCCUUGACCAAAAAUGAGGAGUUCAAAGCCGCGGUGUCUUCAGCAAAGAAGGCGUUUCAAACAUGGCGUAGCACACCUGUUACGACGCGUCAAAGGGUCAUGCUUAAGCUGCAGGAGCUUAUUCGGAGAGACAUUGUGAGUAUUUAAUUUCCAGGAUGAGUUAAUCCUUUUUAGUUGAGUAAUAUUAAUCGCUGUAUUCUCUUUUCAGGAUAAGUUGGCCUUGAAUAUUACUACAGAACAAGGGAAGACAUUAAAGGAUGCACAUGGUGAUGUGUUUCGUGGGCUAGGUUAGUGUAUGUGCUUUCCUGUUGAUAUACUACCAUGUGCUUUUUAAUACUGGAGUUUGGUGGUGUUGAUGAAGCUCUGUUACUUUGUGUUUUUCUUGUUCAGAGGUGGUAGAACAUGCUUGUGGUACAGCAACUCUGCAAAUGGGGGAAUACGUUUCUAAUGUAUCAAAUGGAAUUGACACGUUUAGCAUUAGAGAACCACUUGGUGUUUGUGCUGGGAUUUGUCCGUUCAACUUUCCGGCAAUGAUUCCAUUAUGGGUGAGCGUACGAUCUCCUUUUUCUCUUGUUCAUAAUUUACACAACUAGGUUUGUAUAUAUCUCACCUAAAUGCUUAGGCAAGAUGCUGUCAUGAUGCAUUUGAUUCAACACUGCAGCUUCUGUUAUUAUAGUGUUUUUCUGGUGUUUUUCCUCCCUUCAGAUUUACAUUUUUUUUUUCACACAAGCACACUAAAGCCACUACCAUGUUAAUUUUCUCUCCCGGAUCUUUGAAAUAGUUCUCCAUAGAAAGAAAAAAAAAAUAUCUACCAUUCUAAUUGUUUGCCUCAUGAUCUCACUGCAGAUGUUCCCAAUUGCAGUUGCCUGUGGGAAUACUUUUAUCCUAAAGCCAUCAGAAAAAGAUCCAGGUGAUUGUGACUUAAUUAUAAUUUGGCGUAUCUAAUCCUGGAUCAUUACCUCCCUCUCCAUUCUGACUAUGAAAUCAUUAAGAAAAUUAAAACUUGACGAAGAUACAGUAUGCUUCCUAUUGUUAGUCUAUGAAUUAUUAUAGGCGAUAACAAAGUAGGUUCUUUUCUGUUUCAACUUGAUGUUAUUUGUGAAACAAGAAACUUUUUCUUAGGGAACUUGAAGGUUGAUAUUAUCAUAGGAUUAGUUUUCUUGUACUCUGUUUUAUAUUUGAAGUCAUAUAAGAAGCGUAUAUCUACUUUUGAAAUCAUCUUUCAUGUUAUAUUGUAUUUACAUAAUUUUCUUUUGAAUUUUUCUUACUGAUGAGGGGCAGUACUUUCUUUGCCGCAGGUGCUUCUGUACUGCUAGCAGAGUUGGCAAUGGAGGCUGGUUUGCCUGAUGGUGUCUUGAAUAUUGUUCAUGGAACAAAUGUAUGAGUGCACUCAAGCUACUUUUACUUACUCGAACUGUCCUUAUCUUAUUUUUUUAAGAAGUAUGGUCAACUGCUUUUUAGUUUUUUAUUUUUUUUUAUUUUUUUAUUUUUUUAUUCUUUUAAAUUCGUAUUUUCUAUUUCUUUAAGUACAUUUGAGAAUCUAUCUUGUGUGAGUUCUUCUAUGACUUUAUUAUCUUUUUGGGUCUUAUGUCUAUUGGAUAUUGGUGAGAACAAAAGUAAGGGGGUACACUAAAAGAAGUUAAAUUUCCUUAGACUUGGUCUGGUAACUUUUACUUUUUUUUUUUUUUUUUUUUUUUUUUGUUGUCUGAAGAUUUUAUCAGCAUUAACCCAAAAUGGGAUGCUAAUGGCAGCUUUGAAUUCCUUUAAUAUGGUCAAAAGCUUUUCCACUUCUCAAAUUAAAAAAUCAAUGCAUGUUAUCCUUGGGCAAAAUAAUCUAGUUUGAUUGCAUGAAGGGUUUGAGUGAGAAUGUUCUUCUAGGUACUGAAACGGUGAGCGGGCAAAGGUUUUCUUGGGUUUGAUUCAUGUAAUUUAGAGAAGAACAUAUUUUCUCCUUGACACAAACAGGUUUGGCUAACCACAAAUUGUGUGGUGCAAUUGUUUUUUUUUUUUUUUUGUAAUAUAAGAUUGUUGGAUAUAACUGUAAAUAUCUCAAUAUUUGGAUUUGCCAUACUUUGUACAGUUGUGUUAAAAUUUGAAAUGAUUGUCCAGAGGCAAAUUUCUGGGUACUUUGAUGCCAUAAGUUCGCUAUCUAUGAGAUCUUGGUUUUCCUGAAUGCAUAGUAUUUUUGUGGCAGGAUAUUGUUAAUGCAAUAUGUGAUGAUGAUGAUAUCAGAGCUGUUUCAUUUGUUGGUUCUAAUACAGUAAGUUUCCUCACUGUGAUUGCAUCCCUGCUCCAGUUCCUGUGUUGUAUUUAUGUAUGAUUAAUCCUAUAGUUGAUGAUUAUUUGCACUUUGAUGAUUCAAUGAGUCCUGGCAGUUGUCUUCCUCGUUGGUUUAGGGUUUAGUCUGCAAUUGAAUUGAUAGCCUGCAUAUGAAGUUAACGAGGAUUAGUAUAGAUUCAUUGUUUGUCUGUUGUUUUCAUUCAAGCAAGAGAUGCAUAUAAGUGUAAUUUUAAGAAUGAGAGCUAGUUUGAGUUUCGAUUUCAAUUUGAAUCGUCACUUUGAGGAUAUUUCUUGAGUUGAAGUAUGAGCUCUAUCUGUGGGAUUAAAAUUCCCGUUUUACCUUUCUUUUCAAUAUUCUUUGAGAUGCGUGAUGAUGCUAAUACUAUAUUUAAAUAGAACAGCUGCUUUAACCAUUUAUAGAUAGCCCCGUUUUGAAAUUAAAGUGUGGGGCUCUUUAUUUGGCACACUUUCAGGUCACUUUUCUACAUCUCUACCGUUCAGUGUCUAGAACGUAAUGUGUAGAUCAUUCCUGUAGAGUUUCAUCCAAUUCGGAGAUCAUUUGGGUACCCAAUUAGAUUAAAUGAAUCAACAAAACAAAAUUUGUCCAAACAUAACCGUUCGUGUAAAUCACAAUUACGGAACCCCAAAUGAUCUUCAAAUUGGAAGAAACUUUGCAGAAAUGAUCUACACAUUAUGUUCUAGACACUCAACAGCGAAGAUGUGAAAAGUGACCUGAAAGUGUGCCAAAUAAGGAGCCCCACACUUCAAUUUCAACACAGGCCUCCGCUCUGGAUAGCAACUGUGUCUGUGUGUGUGUGUGUGUGUGUGUGUGUGUGUGUGUGUGUGUGUAUACUGUCAUGCUACAUUAGUUUUCCUAGCUGUACUCUUACACAACAUUUUUUACAUCAAAAGGCCGGUAUGCACAUUUAUUCAAGAGCAUCAGCUAAAGGGAAACGUGUUCAGGUUAGUCAGCUUCAUAUUUAACUGCUUCUCUUAAGAGAGAACUAGUGGCUUUCAUACUCUUGCAACUGUUGAAGAUGAACUGAUAUAGUUACAAUGAUAAACUACUUUCAGUCCAAUAUGGGGGCUAAAAAUCAUGCAAUUGUCAUGCCUGAUGCCAGUCCCGAUGCUACUUUGAAUGCUCUAGUUGCCGCUGGUUUUGGUGCUGCAGGACAGAGGUGCAUGGCACUCAGCACAGUUGUUUUCGUUGGAGAGUCAAAGUCAUGGUAUGGCGCCUCUUUUUGUUGUUUAGUUGUUUUGUAAUAGUUUUUUAUUUUUUUACUCUUUUCCAUUUGUUUGAUUUUCUGUGUGUGUGUGUGACUACUGAAAGGUUUCUAUUGGCUGUUAAAGUGCUAGGUAUAUGCAUUUGAAAAUAAUGACACGAAAAGAUUGUAAACCAUUUACUAUUGCUGCCAAAAAAAUGUAGUUCUUGUGAAGACUAAACAAAAUGUGGAUACAUUAUUCUGUUUUCUGAAGACCUAAUUGAAAUGUUGUCAUAUACUCUUCAUGUUACUUUUUGCCAAAAAGAUACUUGUUCUACUCUUCUUUUAGAUUCAAGUUGAUAAGGAUUUCAUGCUCCUCCUCAAUCUUUAGGUAAUCUAUAACCACUAGCUUCUUUAACUUGUAAAGUAAAACCACCACCCUGGGCCAAUCUUCCUGAACAUUUCGAGUUCCAAUUCUUUCCAUUUUUGUAAAACAUAGGUCUGUGAAAGGAUAUUUACGAACCAUUUUCACAUUAAUGUGAAAUAUACCUUUAUAUUUCUGGAAAAACCAGUCAAACCACAUGUUUAAGGAGACUGAUAAUAUUUAAAUACAUUUAUUUGCUUUGUAAUUAGAGGAAAAUGAAUUUCUACCUACUUUACUGUGUUUAUCUGUAUAUUUAUAGGUAUCCUUACGGUUUUCUCCCCCUCAAACAUAUGUGUCUAUGGCAUUUCUUACAAAAAGAAAAUGAAUAACUGGUUAGAUUUUAAGCUAUUUCUCUUUUCCAGGGUGGAUAAACUUGUGGAGGGUGGCAAAUCCUUAAAAGUAACUGCGGGGACUGAACCUGAUGCUGACCUUGGUCCUGUGAUUAGCAAGCAAGUACGUACAUGAAAGUUCCUUCUUUUUUUUCCUUCUUCCUGAAGACCAAUUUUAUGAUAAUAUUAUGUUUUUUUAUUUUCCAAGAGACACAAUAGUGAUAUUUGAAAACCCUUUCUAUAAAGUAUCAAUUUGAUACAAAAUCAUGCCCAAAAUAGAACAUGUUAAAGCGGCGAUAUCAGCUCAUUAACGACAUCAGGGUGGUCGUUUUCGAGGUUUUUACUAAUGAAAUGCUACACAAUUCACUCGCAGGCAAAGGACCGGAUAUGCAAUUUAAUCCAAUCUGGUGUUGAUAGUGGUGCCAGGCUAUUACUUGACGGGAGAAAUAUAGUGGUACUUUCUUGUAGAUAUAAUACCUUCAUUUUGAUCACUAUUCGCUUAUGUUCUAUAAUGUAAUAUGCCACUGACUCGGUUUUCAGAGAGAUUGAUUUGCUUACUGAUUCUUCUUUAUGCUUGACAAGCAGGUCCCGGGUUAUGAGCAUGGAAAUUUUAUUGGCCCUACGAUCUUAACAAAUGUUACGGCUGACAUGGAGUGCUAUAAGGUCUUCUUCUUUUUUUGGGGUUUAUUAUUUUCCUUAAAUUUUCCAUUAUAUUUUCUUGGUGCAUGAAUCAUAAUUUAUAGAGAGCAUUGAUAGGUCAGGAAUGAAAAUAUAAUCAAGAUUUCAGUUUAUGAAGCCACUGAUAUGCACAAAUCUAAUAUCUGGCUAGAAUAUAAUAUGAAAUAAGAAAAGUAAUUAUUAAAAUUCUUCUUCUGGUGGGCAUUCUUCCAAUCUUCCCUUGUAAUUCUAUGGCCCACAUAAGAGGAUUGUUAUAGGGAUUGAAGUUGGAUUGUUUCUGGUGCACUGUAAAUUGGAUUGGUUUAUAUUAAACUUCAUUACAAAUUGAGUUUGUAUUGAAAUUGGUAUUAUAUUAAGUUUCAUUACAAAAUGAGUUCUUAUGUGAUUGAAAUUGGUGCCCCUCCAUGAGUAUUUUCCAAUGGACAUGUGCAUGGAGGGGAGUGCGGUUUGUAGAAAAGGGGAUGCAAAUUUUAUCCCUGUUACAUAUCAAAUAUCAAGUGCCAUCGUUUCUGUUGGUGAAGUAUCCUUCAAGUCUUGAACAUUGAUAUUUCCACAAUUAUGAACUUUGAUAUCAUUUUUCUUCAGUGGUUAGGAGAGUUCAUCCUCUCAACUAACUCCACCUAUGUUAGUACCUGGUGGCCAAUUGUUUUGAUUUGAUGAUGAUGAAAUAACUUGAAAUUCAAAUUUCGAACUUAUUAUCUUCUACCUUUUGUGCAGGAAGAGAUAUUUGGUCCAGUUCUUCUUUGUUUGGAGGUAUUUAGAUGACUUCAUCACUGUUUCUCAGCGAGCCACUUUUCUUUUUCUGGCAUGGACAUGGCUAACCUAAAUUUUCUUCUUAAUGCCAGGCUAACAGUCUAGAAGAGGCAAUAAGCUUUGUUAACAGUAACAGGUAGUCAUUAUUGCUUCCCUUAUUCCCUUAAUUAGAACAUUUUCCUGAAUUAAUGUGUGCGGUUCAUUAUUAAUGUUUUUUUUUUUUUUGUGCGGAACAGAUAUGGCAAUGGUGCUUCUAUAUUUACUUCAUCUGGGGUAGCUGCACGAAAGUUUCAGACAGAAAUUGAGGCUGGGCAGGUUAUUACAUUUUUUUAGCAUCCUACGUAGCUGAAUUUGCAAGAAAAUAAUUGGACUGAUAGAAAGUUCAACAAAACAACUGUAUCACAAAUGUUACUUGGCUCUGCUGGGCAGUAUUUACAGUUAUCCUUCUAGCUGUAUUGCUGAUGAAUUGUGAUGGUCAACAUAAUAAGAACAACUUAGCAAGAUAAGUUUAAAUAUGUAUAUAUAUAUAUAGAGGCCCGCUAUGAAGCGGACGUCCGCACCGAAGAAAAAGUGCGGACAUCCCUCCGUUCUCCUCCAUCCGGCGCCGAUGACGGCGCUCCUCCACCCGAGCGGACUCCAGCUGCAUCUCCGAUCACUUUCUCUUGCCGGUGAGAUCGAUUUGAAGGUGUGGGCAGCAACCUCCACCCAAAACUUCAGACAAGGUCGAUCUCGCUGGCAAACUGGAAUUCAGCGGACUCGCCGGGAAGAGAAAGUGAUCGGGGACGCCUCUGGUGUCCGCUCAGGUGGAGGCACGCCGUCGUCGGCCCCGGAUGGAGGAGAACGGAGGGAUGUCCACACUUUUUCUUCGGUGCGGACGUCCGCUUCAUAUCGUUUUCGUAUAUAUAUAUAUAUAUACAUACAUACAUACAGGGCCCUUCCAACGAGGGAUCCUUAUUUUAAGCCAUUUAUAGGGAUAAGGCAUUACACCAACUUUCCGAUUAUAAUUUUACAUCUCCACCGUUCAUAUCUUAGGUCUAUAUGAGUAGAUCACCUCUACAAAAUUUCCUAUGAUUUGGUGAUCGUUAAGGCUUUCAAAAGUUCGAUUUAGUUUUAAUGACCUUCAACGGUUUUAGNNNNNNNNNNNNNNNNNNNNUUUUUUUUUAAAUAAAUUACAGGCAAGGCAGGUGUUAACUUUUUCACCCAGAUCAAAACGGUAACUCAGCAGUGGAAGGAUUUACCAGGAAGCAGUGUAGUUAAUCUUGCCAUGCCAACUUCUCAAAAGGCAUAGUUGCCUUGUCUACAAAAUAUUGUACCAUUACAAUAAAUCAAUAUCAAGGUCUCUUCUUUCCUUCAGUUGUUUCCAACCUACCACAUUUGUCUUUUCUUGUUCUGAAGUGGGGAGUUGAUAUAACUAAGCGAAUGUCAAAGAAACAACCUCUGCUAGUUAACAUAUAAUCUUAAUGUUGUUGCAUUGGAAGCUCAGAGUUAGCGUUGGCCGAUGAGAUAAUUCAUAAUUGUCAUACACCGAGCACACAAAUGACUUGCUCUAAAGAUAACAGAAACAAAGAAAAAGGAAUUAUUACUUUCUCUAGUCUUUGAUUCAGCUCUGUUCAGUGUUGAAAAGACUUUAAAUUGAAUACUGCAGCUGGAAUUAGAUUGAGUUUCCCAGAACUUCUUAACAUAUACAUAGUGCGAAACAUGGGAUGGAUCAUGGAUGUAGCGUCUCUUUCGAGAUUUUCUUUUUCUCCUUAGAAGUCAAAGAAAGAUGCUCCUAGCUUAAGAUGAGAGAAGACGAAGAUUUCUUCAAACAAUAAAGUUGAUGUCUAUUACUGCCCCACCUUAUUUCCUCAUUUUUAUCCCCACCCACCUAGAUGCAUGACAUAUGUCCGUUUUCUUGAACUUAUCUAACCAUGGUCAACUGGUGAAGCCUCGGAGCAUUGGGAGCCAAAGUAUUACCUUGAAUCUUUUGUAUUUGAACAAAAUGACCAAUCAAAGAUGGAGUAGCCAACUGUUUUGAUACUAGUCAUGACUAGAUCCACCCAAUCUGCAUUUUGUUAGUUCUAUUUCACCGCCUAUGUUUAUCAUUGCCAUGAAAGAGGGCCUUUGUUUUAAUUGUUGAUGAAUGAAACUCAUGUAAGCCAAUUAGGUUUGUGUUUAUUCAUUACAUGUUGAGUAAUUUAGUCAGGUCAAUAUAGCACAACCCGAUCAUUACGGAUGCAACUCAUGUUGAUCAUAUAACAAGAUUUAAAACACUAAAACAGAUCAUGUUUGUUUCUUGAGAUGACACCAGGAAUACAAGGAAAUGUCUUUUCAGUUGCUUAACAAAGAAAAAUAAAUCAGAAUAUAUCUAUUUUAAGCAUCUCUCUCCAGAACCUGCAUUUCUGGUCAUAAACUAUGGCGGCAAUUACUUUAUUCAAGAUGAUAUACCAUGUCAAACUCACCUGUUGCGGUAUCACAAAUGCCCCUGGGCUUAUUCAUCCCUGCAACCUUGAUUAGGUUCUAUUGUGGUAGGUUCUCUUGUCGUUGUUCAUUCUCCUUGUGUUUCCUUCCCUUGAGAUGACACAUCAUGUCAAUCUUACCAGGGCAGCGUAUGCUACAAACUGUGCACCACAAAGGGGAAUUCCGCUUCGGUUGUUGACUUUGUACCUUCUCAAGAUGUAUAGCACUUUUCCCCUUCAGGCCAUUGCUGGAUACGCCAUCUACUAGCACCUCUUUCAGUUUAUCGAGCUUUGUAAUUGGACUAAUUUUUUUCUGGGCUUGCAUGUGUUCAUUUGAAGUAACUUUUUGUUUCACUCCACUGCUUGGAAUGCUCUUUCCUGGCUCCUUAUUUGGAUGAUGGGAUGUCUUUGCAGUUGAAGCUGGGGAAAUCGUGGGCACAAAUGCCUGGUUCCUUGCUUUCAGUGCAUCAUAUGAAGCCUUGUGUUUCCUCCCUUGCAGGUGGGAAUUCAAAGUUGUUUCACAUUUAGUGGUUACCUGACAGAGAGCACAAGUCCACUCUUUCUGGACUUGUUUAGGUGACUGGGGAUGUUCCAUACCUGUUCCAACUUGGAUCGGCUUUUCAUUAACUUUCACAGCUGGAACAGUAUGGUUUUCAGUCAGAGUGAGAUUAGGCUUUGCCUCAUAUGUAGCAUUGUGUUUAUUACCACCGAGAGGGAAAUUAAAAGUUGCAUCAGUUUGAAUUGGCAGCGGACAGACUGCGGUCAACUCCCCUUGGACUUUCUUUGGAGGCGGAGUCUUUAGAAUUCCGCUUUCUGCUGCAGCCUCAAUGGUUUUUGCAUCAGUUUGAGUUGGUAGCGGACUGAUUGCAGUCCAUUCCUUUUGGACUUUCUUUUGAGGCAGAGUCUUCAGAAUUCCUCUGUCUGCUGCAACCUCAAUUGUUUUUUGCAUCAGUUUGAGUUGCUAGCACACUGACUGCAGUCAACUCCUUUUGGACUUUCUUUGAAGGCGGAGUCUCCAGAAUUCUUCUGUCUGCUGCAACCUCAAUGGUUUUUUCUUUCAUUUGCAUAGCAGAAGAUCUAUCUUUAUUGACAGUGAGAAUAGGCUCUGCCUCACUAACCUGCAAUACAAUGAAACAAGGUUCAAAAUAUAGUUAAUUUUUUUUUCUUUUAACUCUUAAAAUGAACAAUUCUAAGAACAUAAUGUUCCAAAAAAAAGUGUGAAACGCAAAUUGAUGACUGGCGUACAGAAUGACGACAAAAACAUUUGGUUCAAAUGAGACGCAACCCCACCACCAAAGAUAUAGCAAAGUGAAUGGAAGCAUUUUGGAAGAAAUGUGCAUACUCUUGUACAUGAACUACAACAAAUGGCUAUCAAUAUAAUGGAUGACCUUUUCAACUAGAAAAAAAAAAAAAAAAAAAAAAAAGUACUAUACUAUCAACAUACUAUUACUAACAAUAUACUUGUAAGAUUUUAAUACAUGCAAAAUCUUACUUGGUUAUCAGUUGUUUCCUUCUUUUUCACCAUUACCUGCAUACCAUGCUGUCCACCAUUUGGCUUUAUGGAUAUUGACUACAUGAAAAGACAAGGAAAGAUCAGAUCAUUAACUAAGAAGUUAGGCCUAUCAUCAACUAGAUAGCUAAGCAAGAAGAAGUAAUAAAAGAAAGCAAGAUUUUCAGGCUUUUUCCAUGAUCACGUUCAACAACUAUAAUCUUUUGUAUCCCUUUGUAAAUUAUACGCCAAUUAUCUAACUCAAAUGUCUGAUACUGUAUUAAAAGGACCAUGAAAUCUUAUGAAUCACAUCAGGAUGUUCUGCAUUCUACCGCUUCAUUAUCCAUGGUAGAAAGUGCAUUUAACUUUACAUCGAUAUUUGUCUUCAUCGACUAAAAUUGAAGUGAGACAGGAGGACUGGAACUAGUAAUCAACCUCUUAACAAUGAUUGCAUCAAAUGUCUUGCUGCCCAAAACUGAAUGUGUAAUUUCGCAAAGUAUAAAUUUUGAAGCAUUCAUUUAUAUAAUUAAUAAAUAAAAUAUACAAGUAACAAGAUCUGCUUACCUUGCAAGAGAUAGACUUUUCCAAACCUUCAUAUCCAUUCUCCUUUACAUAUCUUUCCACCUCAGAUAGAAAGUUUUCUCUAACCAAGGACUCCUUCCGCUUUUUAAACAAGCUAAAUAUAAUUUGAGGAUCCAUGGAGAGACAUGGACAGAUAAGGUGUUUAAAGACAUACAAGGCACCAUCAAAAUGUGGUAUCACCAAAAAGAAGACAAACAGCAGCCUCAUGUAUGGCCAGAGCGAGCAGCUGACAGGUACGGAAUUGGCAAAGAGAAAACAAAAGUUAAUGAAAAAUAUAUUACAUAUCAGCAAUAACCAGAUUCACUACUUUGUCAUAAACAACCUAACUGAUAUCACACUAAGUAGCUCUCUGUCUUUGAGAAAAAAGAAAAAAAAAAGAAAGAAGAAAAAAAAAAAAUGAAAGCUUCCUCACAGAUAUACAUGAUGAAGUGGUCUGGGUUCACAACCAAAACCAAUUGGCAAUGGAUGGAGUGGCCCAAACCCUUAUAAACCCACAGGCAAGGUCCCAUAUUCCUGAUGUGGGAUUCAUAUCUCAACAAUAACAUAUGUAUAUGCAGAACAAAAAAGUUGAAACUGAAUAAAUGUGAUGUGACAUUGAGGUUGAAACUGAAAUGAGAAAUAACAUCUAUUAGAAAAGCUUGAAAUGCUUCAGAGAACAAAAAAGAACAGAAAGUUCAUAUAAUCCUCUUCUUUAAAUAUGAGGAUCAUCUACAUCUAAAAAAAACACUGGAUAUGUCAUGUCAAUUCAACGUUCCAUAGCUUGACACUAUAUGUCCAGCAAUUCAGUCAACCACAGUGUGAAAAGUUUUUCUCUUAUAUUGAUUCUAGUAAAGGCUAGCAAACGUUCAAACAUUCCUCUUUCAAUUUUACUGCUACUUAUCUGUUUAUUUCGCACAGUAUUCCAGUAUUUAGCUAGAAAUAAAAGUUAUAAAACCAUGGGAUAACCAUUUCAAUUGAAAGAAAGAAAAAAGAACAAAAAAGAUAUUUGGAGAAAAUUCACAGCAUAAUGUUCACAUUACAAAUAGGAUGUCAAUACAGUUCUCUUGCCUACAUUAUACAAGGUUCCACAAUUAUUUCUUUCCUUCAUUGAUUGGAUAAUCAAAAACAGAAAUACCCAAUAGAAAAAGCAAAAGAAAAUAAAAAGAAUAGAGAACUACCAUUCAAGCAGCUUCAUAAAAGCAUGUUCAAAGAGCAAGAUCAAUGAGAAAACGACCCAAUAUGUAUUUAACUUGUGAGUAUCUGAAAUGGAAUUUGUCUCGAUUGCUCUUAUGGAAGAAUACCUGUAAGAAUGAUGAUGAUCAUCAUCAUCAUCAUCAUGAGUUAUAUAUUACAGUUGUUAAGUCAGAGAAAGACUUACAGAGGAUAGAGCAGAGCAAAGAGAGGCCUGCAAGUAAAUCAUAGUCAAACCCAAAAAUGUUAUUAUAUUCUCAGGGAAUUUUUCUCAAGUUUACCAAGGAGUUCAUCAUAAAGAAAGCGCACCAUGCAAGAACAUCAAAGCAUUGGAGCACAAAUCCAAGAACACCCAGUAAACCCAUGUUGAGCUUCAGCGUCUUCCUGUGGUUACGGACGGCAGCAUCGAAUCAAAUUCUCAUCUGUUGGCCUUGGAAUUUGAAAGACUUGGAAACGACCUUACUUUUUCAUUACUUGACCAGAAGACGUGUGUUCGUUUUUAUAUUUAUAUAUUAAUAAUUGCUGCCACCGUAUAUUAAUUUUUAGGAGCUGAAAUUUACAUUCCUGUAAUUACGAUCCACACUUCUAUAUAAUAUUAUUAACACUUUGUAGUCGGUAGUUGGGAACUACCUUCUCCGCCCAUAGACCAGUCAGGAAACUUAUAGAUAUGAUGUAUAUCCUACCUCGUCAUGGUGAAAGAUUAUCUGUACUACAUCGGGAAGGUGUUUCUCCAUGCUCCACAAAAAGACACAAUGAUAAGAUAUAUGUGUAGUUAGUCCCACAUCAGAAAUAUGUAAUAUGAGGAAACCUUUUUUAGCUAUAAAAGGAAGACUUCCCAUAUGUAGAAAGAAAAAUGAUGGAUGAUGAUCCUUACUCACUCCAUCUUGGAGAGUUCUUGUAACACCAAAGGCCUAUUGGCCAUGAUAGUAGAAGCUUAAGUGGAUGUAGCCAUGUCCUCCGAUGAUAUGAUGAACCAUUAUCAGAAAUAUGUAAUAAGAGGAAACCUUUUUUAGCUAUAAAAGAAAGGCUUCCCAUAUGUAGAAAGAAAAAUGAUGGAUGAUGAUCCCUACUCACUCCAUCUUGGAGAGUUCUUGUAACACCAAUGGCCUAUUGGCCAUGAUAGUAGAAGCUUAAGUGGAUGUAGCCAUGUCCUCCGAUGAUAUGAUAAACCACUAUAUGUCAUUGUCUCUUGUUCAUGAUCGUUUAUUGUACAUGUUCCACCGUGACUCUACAUAGUCCCCGGGAUUAUGCAGAAACAUACUCAAUCACUGUUUCUCAGCGAGUCACUUCUUUUCUUUUUCUGGCAUGGAGAUUGCUGACUUGUAUUUUUUGUUCUUAAUGCCAGGCUAACAGAAGAGGCAAUAAGCUUUGUCAACAGAAAUCGAAAUUCUUCUACGCACCAAGGUGCAGGUGAACCGAGUAACUAAUAUGCAAUAUUUUGGUCCGGUCAUCCACGUUGCAUUAUCAUGCAUAUAUUUUAAUACCGUGAAUGCAAUUGAAACCCAAAACAAUAGUUUAAGUGUUUCCAACACAAGAGCUGAGGACAUGAGGUCGAAUAAAAAGGUACUCUUAUUAUGGACUUUUAAUUUGAUCGGAUCAAAAAUGAAAAUGAAAUAAAAGAAUUAAAGGUUUAUACGCAGGGACGGAAUUAGGAUUUAGAAUUAGGGUAGGCUAAGUUAUAUAGUGUUCUAUUUAUUGGGCUUCGCCCUUUUCUUUUCUUUUGUUUUUUUGUUUUUUUUUUUUUUUGUAGGUCUCCAUAAACUUGCGUGAGAUAAAUCAUAAAUCCCUCCAUGGCAUAUCAAGAGAAAUUUAGAGCCAAAGUUUGAGUCAUAACAAGUACCAAAACACUCAAAGAUGUAUACAAUUCAUAUUUCAUAUAUAGUAUAAUUGAUCUAAUUUCAAAUAAUACAUUAUUACGGUAACAUACAUAUAUAAUCACUUUCACGCCAACUUAUACAUAUAAGUUCUCCUCAACAUGACUAAUAUGUAUUCCAAACACCAGUUAGGGAUCAAUGGUGAUUGACCACGGGGAUUGAAGCCGUGAAUGGAGUUUCCACCCCUCCGUGGAAGUUACUCAAACUAAUUCAUGAUAUCAAGUCUUGACUAAUUCCUUUGAGUUUGUAUGCUUUCAGCAUGUGUUUAAGGAAGCAAAUUUUGUGGAUUGGCCAAUCUUGGACAUAAGCUGAGUAACCUACGUUGCUGGGAGGAGUGUGUUCCCCCGGAAGCGUCUUCUGCUCUUGCAUUUGACAUUGUAAACCUCGGGUGCAUUAGAGGCACCUUCAUCUAAUAUAUUCUUUUCUUUUAUCAAAAAUAAAUAAAAAUUAGGGAUCAAUGGUUACACAUUGAAAGCCAACAUUUCCUCUACACCUGCAUAUUUACAUGUACUGAUAUACCUGGAUGAUAAUGACUUUUUCUUGAAGGGUGCUAAAACUUUGCAAAUAUGUAUAAAUUUUUUCAACCCCAAAAUAUUGAGGUGGGUUGUAGCAAACUCUAGCCCACCCCUCCUUUUGUGUCUGCGCAUACGGCGAUUUGAGGACUUGCACAUUAAUGGUGUAAGUACACCUUGAUGCGUAAAAUCCACUCCGCAAAAAUUUCAGACAGAAAUUGAGGCUGGGUAGGUAAUUUCAUUCUUUUUUGCAUCUUAUGUAGCUGAAUUUGCAAGAAAAAUAACUGGACCGAUAGAAAGUUCAACAAAACAACUAUAUCAUAAUUGUUACUUGGCUGUGCUGGGCAGUCUUUACAUUUAUCCUUCUAGCUAUAUUGCUGAUGAAUUGUGAUGGUCAACUUAAUAAGAACAACUUGGCAAGAUAAGUUUAUAUAUAUACAUUUUAGAUCUAUUGACAAAAUAGACGAGAUGUGUUAAUAACACAAGUUAAUAACACUAGCCUACAUUUUAUAUCAAUUUCUAAAUUAUUUUGAAACAGGUUGGUAUCAACGUUCCUAUUGCAGUUCCCUUGCCCUUUUUCUCUGUUACUGGUAACAAGGUAUCUUUUGCAGGGGAUCUGAACUUCUAUGGUAUGACCUAUCUUUUACCAGUUACUUGGCUUUAUCUUUUCCAUUCUUUUUCUUUUUCUCUUUUACUGGCAACAAGGCAUCUUUUGCAGGGGAUCUGAACUUCUAUGGUAUGACCUAUCUUUUACCAGUUACUUGGCUUUAUCUUUUCCAUUCUUUUUGCUGUUCUUGAUUGAGGAGUAUUGGCCUUCACAAAUUCUUCCCACAUCCCAUUGCCAUCAGUAGAACAUCUCUUGGUUGUUGCUUCGUGUUCCCACACAUUUGAGUUUCUGUUCUUCUAAAGAGGCCCAGAGCAACAUCAUCACUUUGCUGAAUUAUUUUGCUUACUCUGUUUGUUAACUUCAUUAGCCAGUCUUUCAAGUCAGUUAUGCCCAUCAAGGUACUAGAAGGUUUGCUGCAUUUCAAAUUUCUUGGGCAUAUCCACAUUGCGUAAAGAAAUGGACAUUGCUUAUACUCCUCCGACGCACAUUGGACACAUGAUAGUUCUCACAUAUCCUUUUGUGCUCAAGCUACGUCUAUGUGGCAGGAUAUCAAGUUAUCAACACAUGACCUCCAAACUUGUAGACCCCCUUUCUUUGGUACUUUGGCAUUCUAGAUAGUACUCCAUAACUUCUUGUACUUAGAUACGGUUCUCGGUCCUCUCUCGUGAGCCUCUUUUCUUCCAUGACUUGGGAUUCGAUGGUGGAUUGUAUGGUGUUGUUAUAAGGGAGCUCUCCCUCUAGGUCGUGGUUUUCCAUAUGAUUUAUGCAUUGUGACUUGAUUUGCAUCAAUUACUCGGGCAGUGCUCCGAUUUAGCACUCCUGAUCAUCUCACGGUUGCUAGCCAGCGACGACAAUGUUAGCAUGCAUAGAUGAUGGGUGUGGCAAAUUAGUCGAUGCUGUUACAUUUUCUUAUUUGUUUGUAGGAUAUUCGGUCUAUAAAUUAGUGAGCUGUUGGUUUCAUUUCAUUCUUUCUAGUUUGAUUGAGUUAGAGACUCAUGCUCUUUAUUUUUAGUUGCUUUUUCGAUCUCGUUUUUGCGAGUGUCCUAAUUAGGUUUGUCCCUCGAUUAAUGAAUUAUUAAUUUUUCUAAAAACAAAAAAAUCAUUCCAUACUAUUCAUGCAAAUCCAUCUGAGAAUCUCUCUGUGCCUAAGAUUUAAUUUUCCAUAUAUUCGUACAUAAUUUUCCAGUAAAUACAAUAAAGCAGAAUCUUUAUGUGCCUUUGAAUGUGUGAUUAAGGCAAGGUAAACUGGACAAAUUUGUUUUUUUUUUUUUUUUUUUUUUUUUUUUUUUCUUGAGAAUAGCUGAAUGGGUAUUUGGCACAUCAGAAGCACAAAAUGGGUACAACUGUGCCUUGUCAAGCACAAUCCACUUCAACAUUGUAAAUUUUACAUCUAUGAAACUUUGAAGGUGAUCAUUUGUAGAACUGUGUUAUGAGUUUAAACGGGGAGUCGGGGAUCACUCUGUUCUUUAUCCGUUCCCAUCUUCUGGACUUCACUUCUUUUUCUUUUUUAACCGACCCCAUUUCUUCUUUUUCAAUUUCCUUUUAUCUUUUUUGAAUAACCAUGGUGUGUCAACGGUCAAUUCUAAAAAAAAAAUAUGGUGUGUCAACUGUCAAACGAUUAAAUCACAACAGAGCUUACUAGGAGCGCCCCUCUCCGACCAAAAGAAAUGAACUUUAGGGCAAAUUCCUUUUUUUCUUUGGUUACAUAAUUGUGUUUUAAAGCCCAAGUAGAACAAAAAAUAAGACUAAAACUGCUAGCCUAUAAGGAAUAAGGUAAAUCGCAGAAAUAGAAGAAAACGACCCCAUUCUCAUGUUUUUGAGUGUGCACAUUAUCAAAUUCAAAUACAGAGGGUUGUCCAACAAUUUAACACAUACAUAUAAGAAAUUUAAAAGGGUAAAAUACGGUAUGGUCUUUGUGGUUUGAAGUCGACAUAUAUUCAGUACUGAUGGUUUUAUUUUAAUCUGAAUGAUCUUUAAAGUCACGAUUUUUCAUAUAAAUGGUCAUUUCGUUAAUUUUCUCAAUUAAAUAGCUGACGUAGCUGUUAAAAAUUAUAAUAUCUUUAACGGCCAUAUUAGUAUUGUAACAAAAAAAAUUGACGGAAUGACUAUUUGGAUGAAAAAUCGUAACUAUAAGGACCAUUCAGAUUAAAAUAAAACCAUAAUGACUAAACAGAUAAUAACUUUAAAUUACAAAGACUAAACAAAUUUUAAUUCAAUUUCAAAUUUACUAAACCUUCAACGACUGAAACAACAUAAUCAUACCAUCAAUAAACUUACAAAAUUCCUCUACAACUAAAAAAAAAAAAAAAAAGACCAAAAGAGCAUUGCCUAAACAUCUCAACUGGACAACUGCAGAGUCUACUUGUUGCAUACAUAUCAACAAGGGCAUUGCCUAGAAGUUGAUAAACCUCAAAUCACUUCUUAACUAUUAUCAAUCUUCAACGCAACAAAUGAUUUCAGAACAGAUGGAUACAUAUAAGCAUCAAUCUUCAUUUCUUUUGUACGCAUUUCUCUAAACAAAGACAAAGCUUCUCGUGUGGACCCCUAAACCCUAAACGGGGGUCUUACACACCCAUCAAUCAUCGAGUUCCAAGAAAGAACAUGUCAACCAAUAUAAUUUGAACAGACACAUUAAGCCCACAACUAAUCUGAAAAAUGCAUCCGUGCACCUGAGCCCCAAAACUAAGAGCUGAAACCAAAACAGAUGCAGUCAAUACACUAGGAAAUGUGAACUGAUUGGAUUCAACUCCUUGUGCUCACAUGUUAAGAAAAAACUGGAUUGCCUUCAAGCCAUCCCCAUUCUGAGAGUACCUAGUAAGUAUAUCAUGCUGCUAGGCUUAACAAUGUUCUCAGACAUGAGCAAAACUAUUUUUUUUUUUUGAAAGUCCUCGUCUCGUAACAUUGCAGUUCCUCAGCGAACUGUUGACGUUCUCUCCUCACGAGCUGGAGAAGAAAGUCAGAAUCCUCGUCUAACCAAGAUAGGACGAGAGCUCUGUUGAGGUUGACACACACGUUAUCCAUCCACGGGUCGAGAUUAGUGAAGAGGCGUUGGGUUAAAACUUUGUUACCCCGGAUUAGGGGGGAUGAGACUGUUUUACAUAAUACACCUUGUACCACAAACCCAUGAAAAACUACGGACUGUCUAACGCUGAAUUACUCGAUCAUUCUUUGCUUCAGCCUCGCUGACGGUGGGUGCACCUGUUCAGAUCUCCCCUGGUUUCCUCAACUCCUGAAACAUGGGUCAAUGCAUAAGCCAGGGUUACAGAGAAGAGAGACUGAAUUAGAGAGCUCUACUCAACCCACCACUUUUCGCCCUCUUCAGGUAUCAAUUCUGAGCUUGUUUAAUGGGUUUCUGAGAUUAUGCUUUAUUCGAUUUUGAAUCACAAGCAUUUGAUACAUAAUUCAUUUGCUGUAAAAAGACAUGUACAGGAGGAUGUUGUGUUCGUUUUAUAGACCCUUUACACUAGACAACUCCAAGUCCAUGCAUACCAAAGCCAACUACUUGCUCAACUUGGAACCAGCUUUGGCAACCCAGUUUGAUACUAUGUUGCAAGCAUGCAGUGACCAUUCUCUUAUUCAACCAGGUAGACAACUUCAUUCACAUGCUAUUUGCACUGGGCUUUUAGAAAAUAGUCUUGUUGCCGCAAAGCUCCUUGGCAUGUAUUUCCAUUGUGCUAGUGUUGUGGAUGCCAAGAACCUGUUUUAUCACCUUGAUUUGAACUGUAUUUUUCCCUGGAACUGUAUGAUUAGAGGGUUUAGUGUAUUGGGCCGCUUUGAUUUUGCCAUGCUCUUUUAUUACAAGAUGUUGGCUGCUGGAGUUUCACCUGACAAGUACACUUUUCCUAGUGUAAUCAAGGCUUGUGGUGGUUUGAAUAAUGUGAGAUUGGGUAGAGCAGUGCAUGAUUCAAUGCAGGUCAUGGGUUUUGAGGUUGACAUAUACGCCGGUAGUUCUUUACUUCAAUUGUAUGUCAACAAUGGCUGUAUACGUGAUGCACGGCACGUGUUUGAUAAAAUGUCCCACAAAGAUUGUGUUUCAUGGAAUGUCAUGCUUCAUGGAUAUGCUAAAAAGGGGGAGUUCAGUAAUGCUGUUGGUAUAUUUAUGGAAAUGAGAAGCAGUGAAAUUAAGGCCAAUGCGGUGACAUUUUCUUGCGUUUUGUCUGUUUGUGCCUCAGAAGCCAUGAUUAAUUUUGGUACUCAACUCCAUGGGUUAGUUGUUGCUUAUGGUCUGGAGUCGCAUUCUUCAGUGGCUAAUACGUUGAUAGCCGUGUACUCUAAAUGUCAUAUCUUGUCUGACGCUCGUAAGUUGUUUGAUAUGAUGCCACGAACUGAUGUAGUGAGAUGGAAUGGGAUGAUUUCUGGUUAUAUACAAAAUGGGUUUAUGAGUGAGGCUUCAGGUUUGUUUGAUGAGAUGAUAUCUGCUGGUGUCAAACCUGACUCCAUUACAUUGGCGAGCUUUCUUCCGUCCGUUACUCAACCAUUUAACCUCAAGCAAGCUAAAGAAAUUCAUGGUUACAUUAUUAGACACUGUGUACCUUUUGAUGUGUAUCUGAAAAGUGCACUUAUUGAUGUAUAUUCCAAGUGCAGAAGCGUGGAUAUGGCACGCAAUAUUUUCAACCAAAGGACCAGAACUGAUGUCGUGAUGUGUACUGCUAUGAUUUCAGGGCUUGUCCUUAACGGGAUGAACACUGAUGCAUUGGAAAUUUUUAGAUGGUUGCUUAGAGAGAAUUUGAGGCCUAAUACUCUCACCAUGGCAAGUAUUCUGCCAGCUUGUGCUGGUCUGGCUGCUUUGAAAUUGGGAAAGGAAUUGCAUGGCAAUAUCCUCAAGCACGGGCUUGAUAAAAGCUUUCAUGUAGGUAGUUCCCUUAUUGGCAUGUAUGCAAAAUCGGGAAGGGUUGAUCUUGCUCAUCUAGUUUUCAAAAGAUUGUCGGAAAGAGAUGCAAUAUGUUGGAAUUCCAUGUUAACAAGCUAUUCUCAAAAUGGUAAACCAGAAGAUGCAAUGGAUCUAUUUCGUCACAUGGGGAUGGGAGGUGUUAAGUAUGACUGUGUAAGCUUUUCAGCUAUACUUUCUGUUUGUGCAAACUUACCAGCACUUCAUUAUGGGAAAGAGAUUCAUGGUUUCAUUAUUAAAAGUGAAUUUAGUUCUGAUAUUUUUGCCCAGAGUGCACUCAUUGAUAUGUAUGCCAAAUGUGGAAACUUAGUUAUUGCUCGCCAUGUAUUUGACUCAAUGGAAGAGAAGAAUGAAGUUUCGUGGAACAGCAUUAUUUCUGCUUAUGGUUAUCAUGGUCGCCUUAAGGACUCUCUUGGUCUGUUUCGUGAUAUGCUAGAUAACGGAAUCCUACCUGAUCAUGUCUCUUUUGUUGGUGUGUUAUCUGCUUGUGUCCAUGCAGGCCAAGUUGAUGAUGGAAUUCUCUAUUUCCGCUGCAUGACUGAGGAAUAUGGGAUUCCAGCUUCGUCAGAGCAUUAUGCCCUCAUGGUAGAUCUACUUGGGCGUGCUGGACGUUUACACGAAGCAUUUGAAACAAUAAAGAGCAUGCCAUUUUCCCCAGGUUCUGGUGUCUGGGGAACAUUGCUUGGAGCCUGUCGGGUACAUGGAAACAUCGAGCUUGCUGAAGAAGCAUCAAGACAUCUUUUUGACUUGGAACCAGAAAAUUCAGGCUACUAUAUGCUACUCGCAAAUAUAUAUGCUGAUGCUGGACAAUGGGAGAACAUGCGUAGGGUUCGAAAUUUGAUGAACGAAAGAGGAGUUCAGAAAAUUCCUGGGUACAGUUGGAUCGAGGUCAACAACAAGACUCAUGUAUUUGUUGCAGCGGACACAAGUCACCCACAAUCUGCUAUAUUACAUUCACUGCUCAACAUUCUUCUUCUAGAGCUGAGAAAAGAGGGUUAUAAUCCUCAACCCUACCUUCCGAUGCACCCACAGAUAGUGGGUGUCUGAUAAUGAGACAGGUGAGGAACAAUCACUCUUUUGUGGCAUCUACAUCUUCAAAGUUUACAAUGUUGACUGGUGACUGCUGCUCUAGUUAUCUGAGGUAAAGGUAUGUAAGGCUGUUUUGUACAAUUUUUUUUUUGUUAUAUAGUAAUUCACUGUAAUUCACUAUUUCUACCCUUCUUAUUAAGAAGAGUCAUGUUUCUCACAGAAAUAAAAUCAACACCGAAAUGCUUUAGAGAUGUAUACUUAGUUGAGGAAUUUUCAAACUAGAAGGUGCUAAUGUGAAUAGUGUCUUUCCUUUAUUCUGGGAAAGUCAAUAAAAAUCUUUAACAUAGCCCUAUCCAUGUAGAAAAAAAAUUAUAAAAUGAUGGGAAAGUUGAUGUAUCUCCAUUCUUACCUUUAUGGAAGUUGAGUUAUAAUUAUGAUAUACGUAUUUGUUGAAAUUUUACUCAAAUGCUCUAAUGUGUGGGUUACAUGAAGUUAACCAGAAAGGUUCCUGCUUCAGGUUCGAAGAAAAAGAUAACGCAUGUGUGUGGGUGGCGGAAAAGAGAGAGAUGGACGUGCAGAUGGGUCAAGCAGCAAUUUUGGAGGAGGCUACAAUGGUAUGUCACUAUUAACAUGUCCUUACUGAAAAUCCACACAAUGAGUUUCAUACCUAUGGUUUAUAGUCUAUGAAUUAAAGACAGUUCUUCUCUGCCCUUAGCUCUAAAUCUCAACUGUUUACAGUAAAUGGUUUUGUGGUUUAAGUUGUUAUAAUAGAUAAGCUGCACAAGCUGUAAGUUUCUGCAAUUCUUUGUUGAUCUGAAUACUUUCUACUCUUCCUCAAUACCAUUUCCCUGACCUCUCCCUCUUUUUCUUGAUUCUAAAGGUUGAUGUAUACUUGGGAUUAAAAUUGGCAGAUGUUAAUGGCACUGUCAGAAAGGCAAUCUGCAUAAAUAGAACAUGGACUUUGGAGUGCACUACUUUGUUGUAGUAACAAAUAUUUAUGUUGGUAACAUGUAACAAUAAAGAGAUAAAUGCUUCUCUCAAUAACGUUCUAUCACUCCUAUGAGACUCGAUACAAGCUAUCUGGCUUCUAAUCAUUAAUUAUUGAAACUAUUUUGCUGUUUCUGAAAGACCUUUCUCUUGGCACCAGUAAUGAACCUUAGUCUGUAAUUAUUUUUCAGAAUUCAUUUUUUUCUUCUGAACUCUGUCUGUCCCUCUUUCACUCACAUACACACAUUUCAUAUUCUUGAAUGCCGGUAGUUCUUAUUGCUCUCUGUAUUUUUUAUUUACUUUAUUCAUUUUUUUUCCUUGUUAAGAGUAGAAUUGUGCUGCUGAGACUUCAGAAGCUAACAAAAAUUGAAUUAGAAUAUACUGAGUAGGAUUAGGAGCUUUCCUUCUGGAGAGUUUUAUGUGGAAUCAAUGGAGGAAGGUCCCAAUAUAAAAAAGCGGAGAGAGCGUUGCUGGCAUCAGUGUUGCUCUUUUGGAUCCAAUUGUUUUUUCAACUUGCAUGAAGCAAAGGAAACCAAGCCCUCCGUAGGUGAAUCUUGGGUAACUAUGAUUACCUCUUCCUCAUUUUACAUAAGUUGUGGAGUCCAGAGCUCAAUUAAGUCAUCAUCUUGCAUUUAAUACUCCUCCAUCACGCACAAGUAAAUUUCCUGAAAGCACUACUUUCUGGAUGGAGCCUGAGAAAGUAGUAGAUAUUUCUUGUGUUGAUGGUUUCUAGGUAAGGGGGUCAUAAACUACAGCCAUCCGAUAUUUCUACUAUUAAUGUUAUCAAACUUUAGUUUUCUGAUUCUUUGUAAGAUAAGGUGGUGGUUAUUUUUUUCCCAUGGUUAUAGCACUAGUCAUCCAACUAGGUAGAUUGCCUGCACUCUGCUGCGGGUUUUAUGUUUUUCGGAGCUUUAUAUUUUAUUUUUUUGAAAGGAGCUUUAUAUUUUAGUUGUUACUCGUAUUAUGAUUUGUUUUCAGUAAGUAUUGUUAAUCAGAUUAAUAACAAAUGGAACACGAAACUGAAAAUAGGCUUUUCAAACAAUUUAUAUAAUUUAAAUAUCCACUAAAAUACAAAACAGACUUGCUGCGGGUCUUUUUGUUAUUGAUACACCAGUAUCAUUGUCAAAGAAUAUAAAUGCUUUAUAGAGAUGUUCAUGAUUUUCCAAUCUUUGUAAGUGAAUUGUAACUGCUGCAAACUCUGCAUAGUCCGCAUAUACAUUUCCAGUAAUCUUUGGUGUUUAAUGUUCUGCUUUCCUUGUCAGUCCAUGUGGAUUUUACUUGGUAACAGGCUGUGACCUUACCACUUUGUGCGUGGAAAUCACAGUUUGGUUUUUUUUAUACAUGGUUUCAUCAAAAUCUCACUUGUGAACUUAACUGAUUUCUGUCCAUGUAUGCAGGCGCAUAUAUGUUAUGGGUUUACUCUGCAGAUCUCAAUUUCAAUUGUCUUUUGCUAUGAGUUUCUUUUUAGCAGAAAACCAUUUACUUUUCUUCAUUGUUUUCAUUGACAGGCUUCCACUCUGGCCUUACACAAAGGGUGUCAUUACCAUCCUGUUAGUGUUACCUUACUUCCAUGGUGGUUCUCCCCUGUAUGAGCAUUUUAUCAGGUCUUAUAUUUCUGAGUAUUCAUCCGUAAAUGGAAAUUAUUGUCAUUACCAAACGUAUAACAUAUGUUUCCGAGGGGGGACAACUUUCUUGAUGUGGUUGACAAAAGUGUUACCAAGAUUGAACCACAAGAAGUAGAGAGACCUAUCAUAUUUCAGGUAAGCUUACAACCUUAUGUUGGCACAUUGAGAACUUGAUGAUUCUUGCACACUACAAAGACAUGUCGUACCAUGAAAGUCUUGUUCUUGACUAUACUAAGAAAGACGGGUUUUGUAAUGUUCUGAUAAGUAUUUUCGUUAUAUUAUUUCUCUAAGUAUGCCCCGAGAAUCCAGUAGGUUAACUGCAUUAUUGGCUGCAUUGUACCUUUGUGUAUAUUUGUAUGUAAUGUUAGCAUAAUUUACUAAAUGAAGGAACUUACUUUUUGUAUUGAUCUGUAGCUGAAUAUUUGGCAACAUUUAGUGCAACUUCUACUUGAGCAAAACAAUUCAAACAUACUUUACGGUUAUACCUCUGAACCAUGUUUUGCAUUAUUUCAGGCAUGUAGUUUUGACAACAUAGUUUAGAAAACAAUUCAAUAUUUUUUUUUUCUUGUUUUCUUUUUCAUUGUUCUGUUUGCUUAAACUACUCUAUACUACAUGGCAUUCUUGUAUACUACUUUCACCAAUGCAAUAUCUACAAAAAGUACUUUUAAUGGUAUAGAAGCUGGUACUAUGAUCCUAUGUUGAUGGUCUCCAGUAACAAUCCUGUAUUUUGUAGCAGAUUAUCAUGCCCUUGAAAGCAUUCUCUUUGGUUGUUCUUGUGGCAGUAUUUGCUUGUGGCCAUGCCAUAACCUGUCUUUUUUUGGAAAUGCACUAACAUGUGUCUUGGUGCUGUUCUGCUGUGCUGAGUUGUAUGCUUCGAAUCAGCUCUCUACCAGCAAAGAACUGAUUUGAUUCAGCGACCUUCGUUUCGUUGGUGCAUCUCUAGGUGGUGGUGAUGGUGAGAGCAGGGAGCCCUGGGGUAUGCAUCUGGCAGCCAAUUGUCUCUCCAGAUUAUAUCAAACCUGCCAUCUGAGUCCCUUUGCAAGUACUUCUUUAGCUUCCCAAACGUUACGUCAUGGGAAUGAGGGAUGUUCACCUAGUUCUGCAUCUAAAAAAUCACUCUGCCAAAUUGCUUUGUAGUUUGUACAAUCUGCCAACAAGUAUUUGGGAUUUUUGACAAGUCUCCAGCCUUGUUUUGCUAGCAUGGCGAGGCUAAAUCAUUGUACGUUCUUGAAUCCCUCCAUGGCUCCAUACCACCAUCUUAUUUUGGAACACAUUAGCGAUCCCAAGACCAAUGUAUCGUCUGCUUUUCUUCUGAAUCUCCCCAGCAAAAGCCAGCAGAGUUGUUGUAACUCCUCACAUAGGCCAAUAUAUAGUUUGGGAUAGUUUGAGCGACAGCCUUCUAUCAAAAUUUCUUAACACCACUAUGAACCUUUGCAUGCCAGCUUACUGCUUAAGUAGUUUGCUUCUCCUUAAGAUAGCUAAAGGCUGCUGUUUUUGUGCGCCCUGCAAAGGUAGGAAGUCCCAAUACUUUUCAUGUUUGUUGACUCGUUGAACUCCCAGAAAAUAACUGCUUUGCCACAUCAACAUUCUUGCUGAAGGCUAGUUCACUUUUUUUUUUUAGCGGAUCAACUUUCUUUGCCGAAGUCCGGGCCCGAAGCUAGUUCAUGUAAGUGCAGGAUGUUUCGAAACUGCUGGCAUUCUUCUUCAUUUGCUGUGUCAGACAAGAACAUAUCUUCGGCAAACAAGAGAUGGUGAAGCCUUGAAGCAUUGGGAGCCUAAGUAUUACCCUGAACCCAUUGUAUUUGAAUUCUGCUAUUUUCGACCAAAAAAUGACCAAUCAAAGAUCACAUUGUCUAGUACCUCGGGAAGGUCUAAUGUAGCUUGGUACUUCUCCAUUUAAUACGGAAUUAAGGAGUAGCCAAACUGUUUUGACACUAGUCAUGUAGAUCCAUCCAAUCUGCAGUUUGUUAGUUCUAUCAGUGGUUAUUAUUUAUUCACUGCCUAUGUUUAUCAUUGCCAUGAAAGAGGGCCUUUGUUUUAAUAGUUCAUGCAGUUGAAGAAUUAAGUGAAUGAAACUCAUGUAAGCCAAUUUUAGGAUUAAUUACAAAACACCACCCGAACUAUGAUGCUACUUUCAUUUUUCAUACUGAAGUAUCAAAAACUUGCAUUUUCAUACCCAAAGUUUCAUUCCGUUAGCAUUUUGAUACCCUGACUACUAACACCGUUAAAUUUUGAGGGCAUUUUCGUCAUUUUAAUAAAUAUAUCAUUUUUUACCUUUACUUAAAAAUAAUUUAUUUUUUUUGAGGUUAUCAAAUACAAAUAGAACAAUUUACUUUAGCAAAAAUAUUUUUAAAAAAAAACUCCAAAAUUAAAUAUCUAUUUUUGCAACAAUAGUGAUAAAAAUUAGUAGAAUUCUUGUACGUAUGUAUAUAUAUUUUAGAGUUACAUGUUAAGCAAAAUAAAAUAAAAUAAAUUACAAUAUAUAAUUAAAAUAAAUUAUAUCGAGAAAAUAUCGAAUAUCGAUGAAAAUUUUAUCAUAUUUUAUAUNNNNNNNNNNNNNNNNNNNNGUAUAUUCAACCAAAAAUAGAUUAAACAUGUUUAUAUAAAUUUGAUAAAAUUUUCAUCGAUAUUCAAUAUUUAUUGAAUUAUUUUGUUAAAAUUUGAUAAAAUUUUCAUCGAUAUUCAAUAUUUAAAAUUAUUUUGUUAAAGUAAAUGUAAAAAAUGAUAUAUUUAUUGAAAUAACGAAAAUACCCUCAAAAUUUAACGGUGUUAGUGGUCAGGUAUCAAAAUGCUAACGGAAUGAAACUUCGGAUAUGAAAAUGCAAGUUUUUGAUAGUUAGGUAUGAAAAUGAAAAUAACAUCAUAGUUCGGAUGGUAUUUUGUAAUUAAUCCCCAAUUUUAUUCAUUACAUGUUGAGUAAUUUAGUCAGGUCAAUAUAACACAACCUGAACAUCAGUGUUAGAUUGUUAGCCUUUAAAACCGAUGCAACUCCUGUCGAUCAUAUAACAUGAUUUAAACAGAUCAUGUUUCUUUCUCACAAUCCUAUCUUGAGAUAACACCAGGAAUACAAGGAUCUAGGAAAUGUCUUUUCAGUUGCUUAACAAACAAAAAUAAAUCAGAAUAUAUCUAUUUUAAGCAUCUCUCUCCAGAACCUGCAUUUCUGGUGAUAAACUAUGGCGGCAAUUACUUUAUUCAAGAUGAUAUACCAUGUCAAAAUUACCAGAAAAUGUCAAACUCGCCUGUCGCGGUAUCACAAAUGCCCCGGGGCUUAUUCAUCUCUGCAACCUUGAUUAGGUUCUCUUGUCGUUGUUCAUUCUCAUUGUGUUUCCUUCCCUUGAGAUGACACAUCAUGUCAGUCUCACCAGCGCAGCGUAUGCUACAAAGUGCGCACCACAAAGAGGAAUUCGGCUUCGGUUGUUGACUUUGUACCUUGUCCAGAUGUAUAGCAAUUUUCCCCUUCAGGCCAUUGCUGGAUACGCAAUCUACUAGCGCCUCUUUCGGUUUAUUGAGCUUCGUAAGUGGACUAAAUUUUGGCUGGGCUUGCACAUGUUCAUUCGAAGUAACUUUUUGUUUCAGUCCUCUGCUUGGAAUACUCUUUUCUGGCUCCUUAUUUGGUUGAUCAGAUGUCUUUGCAGUUGAAGCUGGGGCAAUCGUUGGCACAAAUGCCUGGUUCCUUGCUUUCAGUGCAUCAUAUGAAGCCUUGUGUUUCCUCCCUUGCAGGUGGGAAUUCAAAUUUGUUUCACAUGUCGUGGUUACCUGACAGAGAGCACAAGUCCACUCUUUCUGGACUUGUUUAGGUGACUGGGGAUGUUCCAUACCUAUUCCAACUUCAACUGGCUUUUCAUUAAUUUUCACAGUUGGAACAGUAUGGUUUUCAGUAAGAGUGAGAUUAGGCUUUGCCUCAUUGUUUAUCUUCACUGCCUCAUAUGUAGCCUUGUGUAUAUUACCACCGAGAGGGAAAUCAAAAGUUGCAUCAGUUUGAAUUGGCAGUGGACAGACUGCGGUCAACUCCCCUUGGACUUUCUUUGGAGGCGGAGUCUUUAGAAUUCCUCUUUCUGCUGCAACCUCAAUGGUUUUUGCAUCAGUUUGAGUUGGUAACGGACUGAUUGCAGUCCAUUCCUUUUGGACUUUCUUUUGAGGCAGAGUCUUCAGAAUUCCUCUGUCUGCUGCAACCUCAAUGUUUUUUGCAUCAGUUUGAGUUGCUAGCACACUGACUGCGGUCAACUCCUUUUGGACUUUCUUUGAAGGCGGAGUCUCCAGAAUUCUUCUGUCUGCUGCAACCUCAACGGUUUUUUCUUUUAUUUGCAUAGCAGAAGAUCUAUCUUUAUUCACAGUGAGAAUAGGCUCUGCCUCACUAACCUGCAAUGCAAUGAAACAAGGUUCAAAAUAUUAUUAAUUAUUAUUUUUUAUUUAACUCUUAAAAUGAACAAUUCUAAGAACAAAAUGUUCCAAACAAAGAGUGAAACGCAAACUGAUGACUGGAGAACAUCAUGACAACAAAAACAUUGGGUUCAUAUAUGAGAAGCAACCCCACCACCAAAGAUCUAGACAAGUGAAUGGAAGCAUUUUGGAAGAAAUAUGCAUACUCUUUUAUAUAUGUACAUGAAUUUACAACUAAUGGCAAGUCAUUAUACUAUCAAUAAAAUGGAUGACCAUUUCAACUCAAAAAACAAAAAAAGUCUACAUGGCAAACUAAUGGCAAGUCAUUAACUACCAAUACAGUUCUCUACUAUCACCAUACUUAUUACUAACAAUGUACUUAUAAGACUUUACUACAUGCAAAACCUUACUUGGUUAGCAGUUGUUUCCUUCUUUUUCACCAGUAUCUGCACAGCUUUGAUAUCAUUCUGUCCACCAUUUGGCUUUAUGGAUAUUGACCACAUGAAAAGACAAGAAAAGGACAGAUUAUUAACUUAAAAGUUAGGCAUAUCAUCAACUUGAUAGCUAAGCCAGAAGAAGUAAUAAAAGAAAGCAAGAUUUUCAGGCUUUUUCCAUGAUCACGUUCAACAACCAAAUUCCUUUGUAUGCCCUUUGUAAAUUAUAUGCUAAUUAUCUAACUCAAAUGUCUGAGACUGUAUUUAAAGAACCAUGAAAUCUUAUGAAUCACAUCAGGAUGUUAUGCAUUAUACCUCGUCAUUAUCCAUGGUUGAAACUGCCUUUAAGUUUCCAUCAAUAUUUGAUUUCGUCGACUGAAAAAAAUUGAAGUGAGACAUGAGGACAGGAACUAGUAAUCAACCUCUUAACAAUGAUUGCAUCAAAUCUCUUGCUGCCCAAAACUGAAUUUGUAAUUUCUCAAAGUAUAAAUUUUGAAGCAUUCAUUCAUAUAAUUAAUGAAUAAGAUAUACAAGCAACAAGAUCUGCUUACCUUGCUAGAGAUAAACUUUUCCAAACCUUCAUAUCCAUUUUCCUUUACAUAUCUCUCCACCUCAGAUAGAAAGUUUUCUCUCACCAAGGACUCCUUCCGCAUUUUGAACAAGCUAAAAAUAAUUUGAGGAUCCAUGGAGAGACAUGGACAGAUAAGGUGUUUAUAGACAUACAAGGCACCGUCAAAAUGUGGUAUCACCAAAUAGAAGACAAUCAGCAGCCUCAUGUAUGGCCAGAGGGAGAAGCUGACCAGUAUGGAAUUGGCAAUAGGAAACAAAAGUUAAUGAAAAAUAUAUUACAUAUCAGUGAUAACCAGAUUCAGUACUUUAUCAUAAACAACCUAUCUGAUAUCACACCAAGUAGCUCUUUCUCUUUGAGAAAAUAAUAGAAAAACGAAUGAAAGCUUCCUCACAGAUAAACGUAUGUAAAUAGAGAGAACAAAAAAGUUGAAACUGAAUAAAUGUGAUGUAACAUUGAGGUUGAAACUGAAAUGAGAAAUAACAUCUAUUAGAAAAGCUUGAAAUGCUUUAGAGAACAAAAAAGAACGGAAAGUUCAUGUAAUCCUCUUCUUUAAAUAUGAGGAUCAUCUACAUCUAAAAAAAAAACACUGGAUAUGUCAUGCCAAUUCGACGUUCCAUAGCUUGACACUAUAUGUCCAGCAAUUCAGUCAACCACAGUGAAAAGUUUUCUCUUAUAUUGAUUCUAGUAAAGGCUAGCAAACUUUUAAACAUUCCUCUUUCAAUUUUACCACUACUUAUCCGUUUAUUUCGCACAGUAUUCCAGUAUUUAGCUAGAAAUAAAACCAUGGGAUAACCAUUUCAAUUGAAAGAAGAAAAAAAAGAAAAAAAAGAACGAAAAAGAUAUUUGGAGAAAAUUCACAGCAUAAUGUGCACAUUACAAAUAGGAUGUCAAUACAACUCUUGCCUACAUUAUACAAGGUUCCACAAUUAUUUCUUUCUUUCAUUGAUUGGAUAAUCACAAACAGAAAUACCCAAUAGAAAAAGCAAAAGAAAAUAAAAAGAAUAGAGCACUACCAUUCAAGCAGCUUCAUAAAAGCAUGUUCAAAGAGCAAGAUCAAUGAGAAAACGAUCCAAUAUGUAUUUAACUUGUGAGUAUCUGAAAUGGAAUUUGUCUCGAUUGCUCUUAUGGAAGAAUACCUGUAAGAAUGAUGAUCAUGAUCAUCAUCAAUUCAUCAUCAUCAUCGGUUAUAUAUUACAGUUGUUAAGUCAGAGAAAGACUUACAGAGGAUAGAGCAGAGCAAAAAGAGGCCUGCAAGUGAAUCAUAGACAAACCCAAAAGUGUUAUUAUAUUCUCAGAGAAUUUUUCUCAAGUUUACCAAGGAGUUCAUCAUCGUAAAGAAAGCGCACCAUGCAAGAACAUCAAAGCAUUGGAGCGCAAAUCCAAGAAGACCCAGUAAACCCAUGUUGAGCUUCAGCGACUUCCUGUGGUUACGGACUGCAGCAUCGAAUCAAAUUCUCAUCUGUUGGCCUUGGAAUUGGAAAGACUUGGAGACGACCUUACUUUUUCGUUACUUGACCAAAAGACGUGGUUUUUAUAUUAUAAUUGCUUUUACCGUAUAUCAUUUUAUACGAGAGUAUUUGUACAUUCAUGCGGCGACAAUAGGCAUGAAGAGUGUGGUGUUACUUUAGGAGAUCGUUGAAGUAUCAAAAAUUAAUUAAAUCAACGAAUGAAUUGAAACUGUUCAAUUUAAAUCGUUCGUAUUUUUAGUUUUAAAUCAUAUCUUUAAAUGUCUUAACAAUUAUCAAUUUGGCUGAAAAUUUGUAGAGAUGAUUUACUCAUAUAUACCUACAGUAGUAUGAAUGGUUAAGAUGAGAAAAUAUGAUCUAAAAGUGAGUCAAUUAAAAAAAUCCGUACAUUUUAAACAAAUAAGGAUAUUUAAACCUGAUAAUAAUUGUGUGUGUGUGUAUAUAUAUAUAUAUAUGACCGAAAAUACCUAGUAAAGAUUGAGUUUUGAACAUAAACAAGAGAUUAUACACAACCAACCUAUGGGUUAAACAAAUGCAGAAACAACGUUUCUUAGACUCAUUAGAUCCUUGACUAAUUUUUAUUAGUUACAUUGACAUGCAUGUUAAUUAAAACAAUAACUUUUAGGAACAACCCUAUCACUCAUAAAGACCUACUCCCAGUAACAAAAUUUUCAACUUUUUGUGUAUUUUUUCUGACCAAAGUACCCUUUGUUUUAGAUUUCUUUUCUCUCCUCUUUCUUUCGUUCAGAUCUCUGCCUCUUCUCUCUCUCUCUCACUCUUCCAAAAUUUCCAGGUGGAUGUACCAGAACUCUCCGGUGACAGAGCUACCGCACUCAGGGCGGCGCGUUGGGUUUCAAAGUCGUGAUUCUAUCGAAAUUGGAAGACCACCGCACGCCGGCACGCGUCUGACCGGGGCUGUCGAGGUAGAUCACCACUAAUUCAGUAAUUUGAGAGCCAGCGCUUCUUCUUUUCCCAAACCCUCUGUUUCUGAUCCACAACUCCGACUAGAACGAUCGGAAAGAAGGUUUGCUAGAUCUAAUCCUUCUCUCUUUCUCUAUGUUUAGCGUUGAACAAAAGAAAUUGAGGAAAAAUUGAAUUUUUCAUUUCGAGCAGAUCAAAGACGAUGUGUUUAGCUAUGAAUUAAAGGAAUUAGGGUAAGUGAUAGAGGAAGACUAACUACGGGGAACACAAUAAAGAAGGAAGAGUUUGGUGGAUGCAUGACAUCCACGUUUGGGGAGGUAAGAGGUUUCAGUUGGGAUAAGCUGCAUAAAUGGUAGACCUUGUGUGGUUCAAUGUUUAAUGAGUUCAAUCAACGAGGUUUCAAUUGAUUUUUGUUUUGCAUAGGCGUGGUGCUCAUUGUGCUUUUUUUACCCUUUUUUUUUU
rnacentral:lncRNA from 1 species